UAUAUACAUAUAUAUAUCUAUUCAUAUANNNNNNNNNNNNNNNNNNNNNNNNNNNNNNNNNNNNNNNNNNNNNNNNNNNNNNNNNNNNNNNNNNNNNNNNNNNNNNNNNNNNNNNNNNNNNNNNNNNNGACAAGGAGGCAUCAUGUUAAAAGAUGUUGUAGCAGAAUCUUGGGAAUAUUUUAAAAUUCUGCUACUAAAGAGACUAAGAAAUUUCACUUCAUCACAGUCGGCUAACUAACAUCAUUUCAUUGAUUUAUUAUAGCUACUUCUUGUAAGUGUAGUUGAUUUAGUAUAUUAUGUUUUCAUUGAUACAGAUAUGAGUGUACAGCCCACAUUUUUAAUGAAUGUAUGCAUAUCUGUAUGUGUAUAAUUAUUUACAAUAACUAUUACCAAUAUUGUUAAUGAAAUAUGUAAUAUUUAAUUCGUAUUAUUCAGUACUAUUCAUGAAAAAAAGUUUCUAAUAGAAUUCAAAGUUUAAGUCGAGUAAAUGUAAUCUUACAUAACAGUACAAUAUCUUUUAAAAAGAAGUAAUGAAGAAAAUCUGAAGUCUUUGUCCUUCUUUCAUAUAUUAUUAUUAUUAUUAACGUUAUUAUUAUUAUUAUUAUUGUGUUACCCUAAUCCAGUGUGUUUAGGCACAUUCUUGAUAUGGUAGCAAUCAGUCAACCAUUUAUACAUCUCAUGGCCAUGGGGUUCUUUCAGUUAUUAUUUUUAAUUGUGUGUGUGUCAGUUCAUUUAGUCACUGGGAAUGGACAGUCGAUACUCUGAGAAUAUUACUGGACAUCAUAUCCAGAGAGUGAUUAAUCUUUUAUCCAUAACGCUUCAGAGGCUGGAGCUAAAAAAUGGCUCAUCUCUGGCCUGAAAGUCCUGAAGCCAUUUUUUAAACAUUUCUUGUUGUAAGUGAAUGUUGUGAACUUGCUAUGAUGUUCUGGUGCUGUCUAAGUAAAUCACUAUUAUUACUUCAUUUUUAUUCCAGUUGGUCACUUCGAGGCUACAAUAUACUUAGUUCAGGGACCAUUCUUAGCACUUAUGAUAUGUAAUGUGGUAUGACUAAACUGGUAUCACACAAACUCCUCAAUCCUGUUUUAAUAUCUUUGACAAGAAAAAAAAAAUGAAUGUUACAUUUUCUACCCCAGUCAUUCUUUUCAAAGUUAAAAUGCUAUGGGUAUAUGUUAUUUUGGUUCAGUACCAUUGUUCUUGUUGUUAUCAAAAGAUGGUGGACAGACAAAAUUGUUAGCUUGUUGGACAAAAUGCUUACUGGUAUUUCUUCUGACUCUUUUCAUUUCUGAGUUCAAAUCCCUCCUAAGACAAUUCUGUGUUUCAUUCUUUCAGGAUUAAUAAAAUCAAGUCCCAGUCAAGCACUAAGGUUGGUGCAAUCAACUCACCCCUUUCACUAAAACUGCUGGCCUUGUACCAAAAUUUGAAACAAUUAUUAUCAUCAUUGUUUUUAAUUCUUCUUCUUAUAAGGCAUGAAUUGGCAGAAUUGUUAAAACUUCAGGCAAAAUACUGUCUGAUGUGUUUACCAUCUCUUUACAUUUUUGAAUUUAAAUUCGAGGGGAAUUUUACCUCUCAUCUAGCCAUGGUCAGUAAAAUAAUGUACCAGUGGGGGAUGAUUUAACUGACUGUUCCCCUUCCUUUUAUUAUUUAUAUUAUUAUUACUAAGGUGACAAGCUGGCAGAAUUGUGAACACGCCGGGCAAAAUGCUUAGCAACAUUUUUUUCAUCUUUACGCUCUGAGUUCAAAUUCUACUGAGUUCGACUUUGCCUUUCAUCCUUUCGGGGUCAAUAAAAUUAUAAUAAUGAUAAUGAUUUCAAAUUGUGGCACAGGUUCAGGUGGGGUGAGGGUGGGAGUCAGUCAAUUACAUUGAGCACUGGGGUCAAUUUAAUUGACUGAUCCCUCCCAUGAGCCUGUGCUAAAAUUUGAAAUCAUUAUCAUUGUUAUCAUUAUUAUAAUUAUCAUCAUUAUUGUCAUUGUUAUUGUUCCAUAAAAGUUGAUGCAGCAGUAAAUCAUAGAUUUGGUGAAAAAGACAAUGAUGGUAGAUUGUAAGAAAUUGUUGUUGUUAUUAAAAGGUGUUGAGUUGGCAUUAGACAAUGCUUUGUUGCAUUUUGAGUGUCUCUAAGUUCUUGCAUUCAAAUUGUGCCGACGUCAACUGCCUUUCAUCCUUUCAGGGUCAAUAAAAUAAGUACCAGUCAAGUACUGGGGUUGAUGUAAUUGACUUCCCCCUCCCCUCAAAAAGUACCCCUGUACCAAAUUGGAAACCACUAUUAAUAUUAUUACUAUUAUUAUUAUUAUUAUAAUUAUUAAGAAUCGGUAGAAUUAUUAGCAGACUAGACAAAACGCUUGGCAACAUUUUGUCUUUAUGUUCUGAGUUCAAAUUUCACUGAGGUCAACUUUGCCUUUCAUCCUUUUGAGGUUGAUGAAAAUAAAUACCAGUUGAGCCCUGGGAUCAAUGUAAUUGACUAGCUCCCUCUCCAAGAAUUUCAGGCAUUGGGGCCUACAGUUAAAAGGAUCAUCAUCAUCGUCUUGGUAGAGAGUCAGCAGAAUUAUCAGCACUCCAGACAAAAUACUUAGCAGCAUUUCGUUUGUUUUUUAUGUUCUGGUUUCAAAUGCCACCGAAGUUGAUUUUGCCUUUCAUUCUCUCGAGGUCAAUAAAAUAAGUACCAGUCAAGCAUUGGGAUCCAUGUAAUUGGCUAGCCCCCUCCUUCAAAAUUUCAAGCCUUGUGUCUAUAGUAAUAAGGCUUAUUAUUAUUAUUACUACUACUACAGCAUGGUGGUAAAAUUGGCAGAUUUAUUAGUGUUUUGUAGUUGCAGUGAAUGUUCUGUGUUUCUAUCCCAUCAAGGUCAACUUACCUUUCAUCCUUCUAGGGUUGAUAAAAUAUUGUACCAAACUGAGGUAGAUUUAAUUGAUGAAUAUCUACCUUCACCCUUCUUCCCCUACAAUUUCAGGCCUUUGGCUUCUGUUAAAAGCAAUUAUUAUAUGGCUAGUGAGGGUGAGGGUUGUUAAAAAUAGUUGAAUGCUUUUUACUAGUUUCAUUCGAUUGUGAACUGAAAUCUUAGAAGGGACAACUUUGUCUUUUCAUCUCUUUUGGAGUUAAUUUUGGCUUUUUCACGGAAUUGAUUCAAUACUUAAAGUUGAUGGUCUGAGUAAGAAGUCAUUUUUAUUUGGAUGGUGGAUACAGUCAUAUGAGGAGUGCACUGUUUAAUUUGUUACCUCACUGUUCUGGUUUCAAAUAGCUCUGUGGCAGCUUCAAUAAUUAUAGUAGUAGUAAAAGGUGCCAGUCUACAAUAGCCUUUUGGUUUCCUAUAUCUUGGAGUCCCAUUGGGAUCAAUUCAAUUGAUUAUACUUCUCUUAGAAUGGUAGAGUUGUCUGUGACAGAAUUGGACAUUGUUUGAUACCACGUUUUUCCUGAAAUAAAAUAAUUUUGUCAGGUUACUUUGAGUAUCUGUAAUUUGCACCACUGGUACCGCCAGCAAUGGAGAGCUCAGCUGGACCUCGUCAGCUCUACACAUGAUGACACCUUUGGGACCACCAACUUGGAAUGACCCCCACCCCCAUCAAGCAAGAGCAUGAAGCCAAGUCCUCUAUAUUCUCUUACAGUAUUGUGCCACAUGCCUGGCUGAAACAAUAGAAAAAUAGAUUGAAUAACCUACAGUAUUUUUUCUCUCUGUCACUAUAUUCCAAGUUCAAAUAUCACCAGCAGUGACCCCUUCAAUGACUGAUGAAUGAAGUACCAGUGACACAUCAUUAUCAUUUUAAUUGACUUACAGUUCUUCAAAAAGAUCAAUAUUUAUCCUCUACUGUGGUUAACAAUGUUGCAGAUGUGAAAUAAAUUCAUAUCAUCAAGUUCAUUUCUUGGUUACAAGUAUCCCAACUGCAAUUACAGUGACAUGUUUUUGGAAUGGGCAUAAAUGUCACAGCUCACCACCCUCUCCUUUCUGCUAAAACUUUUAGGCUUCUUAUUGUUAGCCAUAACACUGCUAAGCUGUUAUGCAGCUAAUUUUAACACUGCUUUUAUUUAUUGUAUGUAAUACACUUAAGGUUGUGGCAGUGUGUCUGAGAGACAGAGACGGAGAAAGGAUUACUCUAUGUAUACACUACUGUGUUGUGUUACUGUGUAUGUAUUUGUAUGUCUGUUUGUCUAUGCCUAGUAAAGUGGUUUGGUGGUUACGGGACACAAAUUCUGUGUGUGCAUGUGUGUGUGUGAGAGAGAAAGAGUGAGUGAAUGUGUGUGUGUGUGUGUUUGUAUUCCCUGACAUGGUGUUUUGUUGGUAUGUUUCCAAACAUUUAACAACUCUGCAUUAUUGAGUGAAUCACAUGCACAUAACACACUACAAUCACUCUUUCCACACUAGGUUUUUAUUUCCCAAAUAUUUUACCCCCCCCCCUCUUCCUUUCUCAACAACAUCAACAAGAGGAAUAGUGUAGUAAAUUUCAUGAAUCUCUUGACUCCCACCUUGAUUUAUAAAUUUUAUAACCCAUCUGUGAGUAUAUAGUUAGGAAUACUAAUUAAAGAUUUAUUGCUAUAUAUUAAAUGAUAUAAAUUUUAUUUGUAAAACAAUAUAAUACAUUUGAAAUUACUAUUAUCAUUGUAAAUAUACUUUGUAUGAUGAUGAUUGUUAUAAAAUAUACAAAUGACGGGAUAAAAAUUAUUUCAAAAGAAUGUUGUAUUUGUAGUUGUGUGAUGUCUCUAUAUAAAGUCUGAGCUUAUGAUGUUGUGAUGGUUGUGUGUGUUUGCAUGUGAAAGAAAAUGAAAGAUAUUAGUCCUGUUGAUAUAAAUAUUAUUUAAUUUGUCACAUGGGCUAAAUUCAGCUGUGGAUAAUGUUUUCUGAUAUCUUAUUAAAUUAAAGAAAUAACCAAAAAUGUGUGUGUGUGUGGUGUUAGCCACACACACACACACACACACACACACAUUCUCUUUUCAUCAGAUUUAUGUUUUCAUCUGCCAUUUGGGUUUGACAGGUCUGCAGCAUCACUUCCUGUCAUCAACUUCCCUCUAUUUUAUCUCCCAUAUACAACAGUCAGAUCUAUUCUAUAACUAAAUAGCUUUUUCCUUCCAGACAUUCAGUGUUCAAUAUUCUUCACACAGUCAUUCUUUCUUGCCAUAUCCACUUUCUUAGAAUGCUAGCAACCAAAGAUGAGAUAACACAGGAUCAGGAUCAGAUUAUUUGUCUGGGAGAUGUUUUAUUGUAGAUCUGUUUGGCCUAUGUCAGAUCAUGCGAAACAGACGGUAUGUUUUCUGAAUUGUAAAGGUAUAUGUUUUAAAGGAUAGGCAGUAUUUCCACCUCAGUAUAUUACAAGUAUUUAAUUUAUUGAAUUGACAGAAAUGUAAUGUAAAAUCAUCUCAAGGUAGGAUUUGAACUCUUCAAUCCAUAAAUAUUGAUUGAACUUGAUUAGAUACAAAACCAAUUUUUAUAAUAAAGGGAGUACAGUUAAUUGAAUGUACUCGAAUGUACUCUCAAAUAUAACUGGUAUCACUUGCAGAUGGAUGAAAGGAAAAGUUAAUUGAACUUAAAACCAAUAGGGACAAAACUAAAUGCUAACCGAGUGCUUCAUCAAUUUUUGCUAAUUCAUUGCUUCCUCCUUCGUCCAGAUAUAUUACACUAAAAUACUGCAUAUACUUCAUUGUAUGCAGUGUUGCUCUCUCUCCUCUCUGUCUCACAGCUCUCAGGUUGUUUUUUUUUUACAGUUCAGCUUCCAUUUUUAGUUGUUAGUUAUCAUUCAUUUUCUGUGGCUUAUAAUUUUUCCUUGUCUCUUACACUUUAAUUUUUGGUGAAAAACUGCAAUGAAUUUCAACACUAGACAAAGUAGUUUAGUCAUCAGAUAGCUAUGAAACUAUUUAGGGACUUACUUUCAUGAGUAUUUUAACAGUUUUAGAUAGCUGAACAUUUCAACAUUUUACUGUUGAUGUUUUAUGCUGUGUCAGAAAUAAACCACAAUUGAUUAUUGACCAAGCCAUUCUCCAUUGAUUAACACACCACACAAAUUAUAUAUUUAAAGGAUCCUCCAUCUGCACUCAAAUGAUCGAUUCUAUGAUGCAUAUGUGUAAUACAUUAUUUUCUCAGUAUGUGGGUGUGUUCUAGUGCUGUAGGGUAGAAGUUAAGCUGUUAACAAGCUGAGUGUGUGAGGUAGUAUGAGAUUCCUGAUUGUUGCUAUUUCACUUCAAUUGCAUCAUUGAGGUUUGGAGAGUAAAAGGCAUUUCUUUAUCCCCUAAAAAGGGGGGAAAAAGACUCAGUAAAUAUCUACCUGGAGUGGAUAAUGGUAGAAAGUUGUUAGAUGUACAGUGUAGAAGCACAUCUUGUGUGUGUGUGUGUGUGUGUGUAUGUAUGCAUGUGUGUGUGCAUGAGUCUUUUUCUUUGGUUUUUAUUUCCUUUGUAGAAUUGAAGUCUGCCAUUAAUAAAGUGGCAAGUCUCAUAAUUGUAGUCGUUGUUUUAAUGUACACUUUUCCAUGUUUGUGUGGGUCGUAUGGAAUUUGGCAAGACAACUUUUCUAUGACUGGAUGACCUUCCCAUUGGCAACUCUCUCCUGAUUCCGGGCAAGGUAAUAUUUCGCCUUGGCUGGACAUGUUUUCAUAAAUGAAUGACGCAACUUUUAUGCUGGUAACGUUUGCUUACAAUUAUUGCAUGAUGUCAAGGUAAGGUGUGUCCCCCUCCCUGCGCACACAUGCACGUGUAUGUGUACGCAUGCGCAUGCGCACAUACACACACAAAAAUAUAAAUAUAAAUAUCUAUAAAUGUAUAUAUAUGUGUGUGUGUGUAUAUAUAUAUAUAUAUAUAUACACACACACAUAUAUACAUGCAUAUACCACAAGCUUCUUUCACUUUUCUUGUACCAAAUGAGCUAAAUGUUUUGAUCUGUCAGGUGCUAUAAGUAGAAGACACUUAUCCAAGGUGUCAUGUAGUGGCAUUGAACUUGAAACAAACUUCUUAAGCAAACUUUUUAAUAACACAGCCAAGAAAACUCUUGGGGUUUGCAGUUUCCUGAAUUGGGUGGUGUGUGGGUCAGCUUGCACUCAUGAAAUGGGUGUACUUUUCAUUUUAUACUCAAGAGUGAGUACUUCAUUAAUGCUUGUCUGUGUAUGUGCCUGUUUGCAUGUGUGAUUGUGUGCAUGCUUUUUAUCCCAGGAACCUCAAAUGGAGAAUCCCUGGAAUGUUUUUACUAAUUUCCAUCAUACUUCUAAUCAAUUAAUUUGAAGUCUAUGAAUCACUUUACUCUGUUGCUUUUUUUCUUUUCUUUGGAGAAUCCCUGCAUUUCUUAGUUGUUAUACAAAUCUGUUGCUACACUGCUUCUACACUUAUUAGGUACAAGUAAAAAUCUGUAACCUGCAUAUCGGCUGUAGGUCUCUCAUUAUCUCUCUUAGAUGUUCUUCUUUUCCCUAAUUUUUGACAGGACAUUCAUAUCGGUAGGGCAGCUGAUCUUUAUAACAGAGUAUGAUUUUUGGUUCCUUUCUCAUUCAACAAUAUUUAGACUAUUGUACUUAUACUGGAUUACUGUUUUUUUUUUUAUUGAAAUGUUCUAUUAGUAUUCUUUAUUUUUAAAGGUAUGACUGUAUUCAGCUUGGUUUUUGCCUUUGUUAUAGCUGUUAGGACCAUCCUUUUUGCAGAUAACAUUGUAUAUGGUUUUAGCAACAAUGUCAUGUCUCAGAGAAAAGGCAGUAUCGUGCAGACAUCUUUGGACAGCUGCUGGUAUUUUGUAGUUAUUUCCUGUUUCUGGAUUGCUAAGGCAUAAUCUUCUGGGUGAGAUGGGAUGCAUUUAUUGUAGAUCCAAAGGAUGCUACUAUUUUUGUCAAUGUUGUUGGUAUUCUCUAGCAUGUGGGAUAUGUACUUACCUAUGCAUAACUUUCUCCUGGUAUGACGAGUAUUUCUCUCUCUGUCACCCUUUAGUUCACAGGGAUCAACUGUAUGCUCAGAGUAUCUGUUCAGGAGUCCUCCGUCUAAUCUCAUGAUGUUAUUACUUGCACUGUUGAAUAUAGAUGUGAUUCACUCAUUUCAUUUUUUACUGUUCAGUAGGUGUUGUAUAAGUACCAUGGUGUGACGCUUGAAAGCUGUCUGAACUGAUCUUAAGCCCUUUCCUCCAUCCCUCUGUUUAACAUAGAUCCUGCAAGUGUUACUGUUGAUGAGGAACAUACAAUUAAUUGUUAGUAUCUUUCUAGUCCGGUCCACCAAGGUGCAAAUUUCUUCAAGGUGUCCACUCUAGUAUGCCAAAUGUUCUGAUGAUGAAGAUUAACUUAUUGUUGUGUGUAUAUAUGUGUAUGGGAUGUCAGUCUGUUGUGUGUGUGAUGAAUGUAUAAUCUGAAACCAAAGGUGUUAUUGUCAUCAGACAAUGGAUUUGAGACUUCACUGUUUGAAAAUGAUGCUGGAUAAUUUUCUGUUGCAUACUUAAGAUAGUAUACUCUGCACCUCAUCACAGUACAUAGUGAUAAGAGAAUAACCUGCAUUACAAAGAUAAAAGUAUGACCUACAUUAGACUAGAAUAUAGAAAGAUAAAUAUGGCCAACUGAAUAAGAGUUUGGAUUGCAUGCUUAUUGGUUUGAACUCUCGUCAGCUGUUUUGUUGUGUUUCAACAGAACACUUUAUUUUGCAUUAAACAGUACACUUAGCUGUCAUGGUAUAUACUAUGUCAUUUGAAAAUGCUAUCUGUGAUAGACCAACAUUGUACAACAUUGUAUAGGGUAGCGAUCUGGCAGAAUCGUUAGCACGCCAGGUGAAAUACUUAGCAGUAUUUUGUUUGCCAUUACGUUCUGAGCUCAAAUUCUGCCAAGAUCGACUUUGCCUUUCAUCUUUUUGGGGUUGAUUAAAUAAGUACCAGUUACACACUGGGGUCGAUGUAAUUGAUUUAAUCCCUUUGACUGUCCUUGUUUGUCCCCUCUAUGUUUAGCCCUCUGUGGGCAAUAAAGAUUGUACAACAUUUCAAAUCAAUCAUUCUCAGUGAUGAGUAUCAGAUCAUCUGGAAAUGUUAUUAGUAAUAGAUCAAUGUUUCGUAUCCUCUCAGUUCACCUUUUGCUGCCAGCAGUUGGUAGCAGAUCUUGAUCCAUGUAAGACUAGUGUCCCACCCAGAGAAAGAUUUCUUAGAACCUAAAACCAUAACCAAGCACUAGUUUUAGUGUCGCUUCAUGGUUUAGGUGUCAGCGUCAUAGAAAGAUUAAGGGAUGAUCUUUAGAAAUUAUACAAUGUCUUGUAGUAAUAAAGGAGAUCUGUGACACAUCAUAGUAUUUUAGAGAUAGAAGGAAAAUUUGCUUUUGCAGUAUUUUAGGACAAAAAGAACAUUUUGAUAAAUGUAACUCAAAAAAGAUAGAUAAAAAAAUCUAAUAAAAUUAUAGUGAUGAUGAUGAUGAUGAUGAUGUUGAUAUUAAGGUUAAACAUCCAAUUGACUGUAUUGAUUGCAGUAUCUUUACUGUUGGUUAUUUUAUCAAAUAAAUCCCAUCUUUAAGAGGUUCAAAGUCCUUGAUUUAAUUGUUUUUUUAUCCUCAUUACAAAUAUGUCCAAUAAUUUUAUUUUAUACCAUUGCAUUUAUCAGUUUAGAAUUUGAACUCUUUAACUGACUGUAUGAUGAACAUUGCAAUUUUUACAUAUACAUGUGUGCAUUUUUCAAGAGCACAUUAGUUUUUAUUUGUCUUUUUAAUUCACUACAUUUAUUUCUCCAUGUUACCUCUUGUAUGAUAAGAAUUGUUUUGUGUUUUUUAAUUAAAUAUAUACAUUGAAAUUUGGAGCAAAGGAUUUCACUUUCUACUCCUCAUACACAUCAGUGAACUGAUAUAGGAUUUGUCUUUGUGUUACAUUUGUAUUUAUUUGUUUACAUACUGUGUUUCUAAGAUGUAUAUUUGUAGUGAUAGGCCUAUGGAGUCCCCAUUCUUAUUGAAGAAUUUAAUCAUUCCCUUCUCUUUUUGUUUUUGGAUUUCAUUUUGUUUACGGUGAAUUCCUAUGGACAUUGUAUGCAGAUAUUUUUUAUUCUAUCUAUUGGAACAUCUGUCUUUUCUGAUAGUUAUAUAUUAUAAAGUGAAUGUAUAACCCAUAUGGAAUUCCCAUAUUCAGCUUGGUACUAAUACUUUUUAUCAUCUUGAAAAGGAGGUAAAAUAGAUUUCUGUUUGCCAUACCUAACACAGUCAGUGGCUGUAGUAAGUUUUGAACUCAUAGUUUUAUGUCCACUAAUUCAGCACCUUAAUCUUCCUUACAGCCUCUUUAUCUCAGUGUAGUUGUAUAUAAAACAAAAUCACCCUUACAACCAUAUUUGUAUUUGCACCCAUCCUACACCCUUCAACAUAUUCUCAAACAGAACCACACUUUCCAUUUAUUUGCUAUGUAGAUAAAUAAUAGAGUCCCACUACAUUCAAUGUGUAUUCAUCCUUAGACACCCCAGUUGAAUUAGUUAAAGCAAAAGUAGGCAACAAUUUCAGUACCUGAUUGAUUGCCAGUAAGUGAUGAGAGCCAUCCCACUUGCAUGGGCGUACCCUAAACAUAUUGUAAAGUCCGAGGCUAAUGCACACUUUCAUAAACUAUAAAGUAUUUUGAAUGAAGUAAAAAAAAGUAUGCAUUGGAAUUUAAAUCAAAGAUGCUGAAGUUGGGAAAAGUAAUUUAAGUGUGUCAAAGAUACUCAAGUUGGAUAGAGUAAAAUAAAAUGAGCCAAAGAAGGAACCUCUACAAGAUCACAUGGCUUGCUAGAAAUAGUAAGCAAAUUUUCUUAAUGGGAUGAAAGAAGGGUAAAAGAACUUUAGGUAACACAAUCUGAGAUAAACUCUCUCAGAAAUUAGAUAGUCACUGCUGGAAUGUCUUUGAUCACAUGUCUGCUGGAUUAGGGGCAACUUAGGGAUAGACAACAAAUAGUAUUGAUAUAACCUGUUUAAUUAGUUUGCAAAUUUCAACAUAUAUGUUUUAAGAUUUACUGUUUUGUGUCUGGAUAUUCUCAGACCAGAAUUAAAGGUUAUGUGUGAAGUUGUUUGAUAUUGGUACAAAGAAUGGAUGAGAAAAGCUCUUGGCUUUCUAUGAUGCAAAUGACCUCAUCAUUUUGCAAUGCUGACUGGAGGGAAUCUACCAGCUGUCUAAUCAGCUAACAAUCAAAUGAACAUCCAGCCAGACAGACUUCAUACUGACCAAUUAAAGAGCAUAGUCAGUCAGUCAUGAAUACUUGAUCCUCUUCUGAAGAUUGUACAACUCAACAUCAGGAAUCUAGGAUAAAAGUCAGACAGCCUCACAGACACAAAACAGUCUGGAGGAGUAAGGUAUGGAAUUGAAAGAACCCCCCCAGUUAAAAUGUAGGUUGAAAGAAAUUCUAGUUGACAUGUAUAAUGAGAGAAGAGGAGAUGGAGAGUUAUCACAUAGAGAACAACUAGGAAUUAUUGCAAGACAAUUGGCUGCAGGACAUAGACCAAAUCUGGGGAUGGUUCCAGCUGGAGGGAAGAUGAGAUGGUUAUGGAAUGGGACAGUAGUUACAGUUAAGACACAGGUUUGUAAGGAUUGGAAGAAGGGUAGGUUGAAAAAUCAGUAUCAGGUAGCUGGAAAAAUAGUUAGGUUGAUUAUAGCAAAAAAGAAUCUGAAAUUAAGAAGUUUGCUAAUAUUCUGCAAUGAGUGUUUCAGAGGUUUUCACUUCUUAUCAAAAUGUUGAAAACUAUGCAUAGAAUAAUGGCACACUUGCUGCUGUCACUGGCACUGAGUAGAGAUGUUACUACAAGAAGUUGUUGAACAUGGAGAAAGCAUGAGAAAGGUCUACCUUGAGUACACUCAACAGCUAUUGAAGUCAUUAACUUUAUGAUUGAAAGUACUGUCAAGUAUAAAGCAGCUGGACCACCAGGGAUAGUUGCUGAGAUUCUGAAAAUACCUUAGGAAUAGGAUAUUCAUUAGUUACCAGUAUAAAUAAUCAGACAAUACAGAGAGCCAUCAUACUUAAUGAAUGUCAUAGCAAUAUCGUCAUCAACUGCUACAAGGUUAAAAGAGGAGUUUUAGACAGAAGCAACUGCAGAAGCAUCAAACUGGUGGACCAAGUUAUGAAAGUAACAGAAUUAUGACACAACUACUUAGGAAUUGAAUCAGUGUAGAUGACAUGAUUUGGGUUUGUAUUAAGAUGUGAUGCAACUAAUCCACUCCUCCCAAUGAGACAAUAACAAAGAGGUUUUUGUUAAGAACAAUCCACUAUACUUUUUUUUUUUUUUAUCGAAGUGGAGAAGGCCUUUGACAGGGUACUGUGUUCUAGAAGUUUCUGGCAAAACUAGGUGCAGCAAACCAUAUACAGAAUUAACAAUAAGAUCAGUAAGGAAUUUAGUAUGGAGUUAGGCAUUUAUUGGAGUUCAGUUCUCAGUCUCACCCUCUUUGUCAUAGUUCUUCUAGCUAUAACAGAGAAGUUUAAGGUCCUCUGUGUGCUGAUGACAUUGUUGUCAUAGGAGAAUCUGGUAAAGAAUUAGAAAGUCCAAAUGAGGAAGCAAGAGGUUUUGUAGCUUGCAAAGACGAAAGUUUUAGUGAAAAGGAUAAAAGACAGGACUCUAUUAUCUGACAAGUAGCCAUGCUUGAUAUUCAGAAAGAAUAAGUAAAAGUUUCAUGGGAUGGAUCAGUCGUAAAUUAUGAGUGUACAAGAGCUGCAGUGGGAUCACAGGUCAGCCGAUAGUGGGAAACCUUGUUUGUAGUAGAUACUGAGUGGUAGUUAGAGGUGACUGUACUCUUACAUGAAUUCCUUCAAAAGCCCAGAGGAUUCCAUAAAACAUUUGACAGUACCUCUUACCCAAGUGUGCUAAUUAAAGUUGGGGUAGGUGUUCUGCAAACAUACUGUGUUUUCGAUGGGGUGGGAAACGUUCAGGGCAAUAUUACUUCUGUAGGCAGUCCGGCCUGUGCAAGUAUGGAAAAGUGGAUGUUAAAACAAGGAUAAUGACGACAGUAACAAAGGAAUUUUCUCUCUUAGUAAAUGAUUGCACAUUGGACAAUCUCUUGCCAGCAGAUUGUAUAAUGUUUAUGUACAAAGUGUCACAUUUACAUUGUAGCAGAACUUGAGCAUUGAAUCCAAAGGAUGUGUGAAAGAAAUGAAGUGUGCUUGUACUGCUGGAUAUGUAAUGGCUGUAUGCAUGACUGGCAGGACUCAACUGAAUCUUAUCAGAAAAAUUGGAUAUAAGAGUAAUCAGAUGUAGUUUGUGAGUAGAAGACUGUAAUGGACAUGUGUAUGGAAGAUGAUGUUUUAGCUAAAGAAAUGCCAAACAACUCCUGUAGAAGGAACCUACUGAAAAGAAGACAGAGGAAGAAUGGCUGCUCUUGGGAUGCUGAACUUCAUGAAGGAGAUGACAAGUUACAAGAUGCAAGAUGCUGGAUAAAAUUCAUCCAACUCAUGCAAACAUAGAAAAACUGAUGUGAAAAUGAUGAUGAAUAGCAAAAUGAGAUGAUUUUGAUAUUAAUAUUAUCUAAUCUUGAAAAUAGUGUGGUCUGAUUGCCUUGAAUUUUCUCCACCUUCUAUAUUUCAGAGUAUGGUAAUUUUGUUGACUGUUUACACUACCUCUCUUGUGUUAGAAUUCUAUAAUGCUUAUUCAAUUAUCUGAGUAGAAAGCAAGUAACUCUGUCAUAUCUGCUUAUGUAUUCAGUUUUAGCUCCAACUGGACUGUUAGAAAUUAAAUUACAGAUUCUAUUCACAUAUUCUACAGAUAUAUUUUAUAUUCUGCUUUGUUAUAUUUUUUGUGCAGUGAUUUGGAACCUUUUAUUGUCAGAUCUGAGCCCUAUGUUUCUGAGUCAGCACUGAGUCAUUACUUCAUCUCUUUCAAUUCUAUUUAGUUUUACUUGGUGGGUAUUGGAUUAUAAGCAUUUAUUGUUAUUGUUUAUAUGAUGGAUGGUGUCAUAUGAUGGUGUCAGUGGCGUAUUUGAAAAUAAAUCCCUGCAAUAAUAAUAUUCAUACCAAAGGAACAAAAGUUAUAACUUCUAAUUUCUUCUCUCCUAUAAACCCAAUGUUUUAUGCUUGUGAAAUAAAAUAAUUAUCAUUAUCACCAUUGCGAUCUUAUUGCUUUCUGAAAUUUCUUCUCUCUGGCUGUAAAUACGAUAAGCAUAAAGUUAUGUAGUUAUUAAAGAAGAGUUUUAUUGGUCCAUGGUGAAACUGAGAAUCCCACUCUCAUUCUAGAAUAUUUGAAGCCUGCAGUCGUAUCAUGGUGUGAUUAUGAUGGUAAUGGUAGUUUUGAAAGGAUGAAGAUGGUAGUGGUUGUGUUUUAGUAAAGAAAAUAUCUAUAAAAUAACCAAGAAGUGAGUGUUCUCUUGCUUCACAUUUUACUAAAUUUAUCUGUGUGAUGUUAAGCCUGUAAAACAGAAGGUCAUGACACAGUGUAGACCUCACAGCAUUCAGAUUACUCUUGUCAAAUGUAAUACAUAUUCAUUCACAUUGACAUGAAUUAAUCAUGCGUUAUCUUGUAGCUUUGAAAUUUCAAUGAUGUGAAUUUUUAUGUUUUGAUUGACAUUGUUAGGUAGGUGUGAGAGGCCAGAUCUAGUCAGUUUGAACAUAGAACAGGUAAAACAUUUUGGGCUGGAUAUUGCCAAUUCAAAUGCUAAAGGGUUAACUUGCAUAUCACAGCUAGUUGUCAGGCAGGUGGAUUGGAUGGGGAAAUGUGGUUAAGAACCAUGAUCUUUUAACACAGUGCCAUUUUAUGUGGCACUGACCAUUGUGGAGUAUGUUUGUUAUUUUAGUGUGUCACUGAGUGUGAUACUUGAACCAUGCACUGAGUGUAAUAUCAAGUGUAAGUAGUGUUGAGUUGAAAAUUGGUUAUAGCUUAUUCCACUGUCUAUUCCAUAGGAGUGAAGUGAUAAAUAAUGUUAACUUUUGUGACAAUUGGAAGCUGAAAGGAUACCUAAUAAAUUCUCUUAUUAUUUUCAUUCCACUCAUUCUGCGACUGGUAAGUUUAUUACUCCCCACACCCACUCAUGUGCAUCACUUUUACACUUAUAUCAAUUGAGGGUGAUGGUUGGGUGGCAAUUCAUGUGUAACCAUGACAACAACUUCAUUACCUGAUUAGCUGACUAAUGUUCUAACCAAUUUGUCCCAGUUUUUUCCCAACACUCAACAACCGUACUCAAUUCCUGUGCCUUCUGACACCCCUUAUUAUUGUAUUUUCAGUUGAUCUAAUUGCUAAUUCCCAAGCUGAUAUAUAUUACAACUGAUCUCUCUGUUGUUUAGCCCCAGAUCCAUCCUCAUUCAGUUGAUCUAGGCAUCAAAAACAUUUCAGCUUUGACCAUCCUGUCUUUUUAGGUAUAUCUAGCACUAUACUAUCUAAUAUGUCCUUUCAAUUCUUUUAGACUGUUGGAGUGUAUGAUGUGAGGGAGAUUUGGCUGUUAUUUCUAGCUGGUUGCAUGACUAUGUAGAAGCACCUUCAGUUAAUUCUUCUGGUGUGGUCUCUCUUCAUCUCAUUCAUUCACUACAGUUCGGUAACUUAUUACAGAAAUCAAUUUAAAGCCUUUUUAUUUUCAUUUUCAUUGCCUCUGAGAGUAAAUGUAGUUUUUUAAUCAAUCGUUCUUCCAUUCAGUGAUGUUUUGGCUUCGUUUCACUCAAUUUCAUCAUCAUCAGUUUAGUUUUUUCAUCUUUUCAAGUUUGCACAGGUUAGAGAUGGGGUUUCUCCAACAGAACAUCUUGUAACUUGUGGACAUUUGUCAUUUCCUUUGUCAGUUUCAAUACUCUCCGGCCAACCUUCAUCACCUCCUUCUGUGUCUUCCUUGCUCUUCGUCUUCUGGAGGUUCCUUUCAUUUGGAUCAUUUAGCACUUCUUUAUCCAGUUGUGUCUUCUAUGCAUUCUGUCACUAAGAACUAUUUGUUCUACUCUUUGAGGCCUGGAGGAAUGCAAGGAAGAGAAUUAACAGACGUAAUUGCCAGUGUGGUUGAAGUGGAUGCAAUGAUUCAGUUAGUCAAGGAUGGGCUGAAAAGUUCAUAGACUGACUACAAAGGAGUGAUGCUAGAGCUGUGAAAUCUUGCAUGCAUUAAUUCCAACCCUUCAUAUUAAUAACUGCAUUAUAUUAUUUGAAAGUCUUUGACAGGGUACCCUGACCCUUAUCUUAUUACUUUAUUGCCCACAAGGGGCUCAACAUAGAGGGGACAAACAAGGACAGACAAAGGGACUAAGUCGAUUACAUCGACCCCAGUCUGUAACUGGUACUUAAUUUAUCGACCUUGAAGGGAUGAAAGGCAAAGUUGGCCUCAGCAGAAUUUGAACUCAGAACGUUAAAGACAGAUGAAAAACCGUUAAGCAUUUUGCCCGACAUGUUAACGUUUCUGCCAUCUCACCGCAUAUCUUAACUGGUGAUCAGUGUGGAAAGUGGGAAUAGAUGAGUGGUUGGUAAGAGCUGUAUAGGGAUGCUGUCAGUAAGGUGAGAUUUAGCAAUGGGUAUAGUGAAGAAUUCCAGGUAGAAGAAGGAGUUCACUAAGGAUCAGUCCUCAGUCCCAUUUUAUUCAUUAUAGUCCUCCAGGCAAUAACAGAGGAAUUCAAGACAUCUAUGCUGAUGACCUUGCUCUAAUAGUCAAGUCACUGCCAGAACUAGAGACAAAGUUUAGGGUGUAGAAGCAAGGUCUAAAAUCGAAGCGCCUUAGGGUUAACCUCGCAAAAACCAAAGCCUUAGUAAGUAGGAAGGCUGUCAAAUCACAAUCCCCUUCAGGUGGAUGGCCCUGCUUGAUCUGUAUAAAAGGCAUGGGUAGAAACUCCAUAUGAUGUACCCGGUGAAAGCUAUGGACACAUAAAAGGUGCAGCAAUAUCAAAGGAAGGUUAACUGGGAAGAUAGUUUUUGUAUGUGGCAGAUGCACAGGGGCAAUAAACAUUGAAGAUGUACAGAAAGCAAAUUCCAUUACAUGCCAUGGGGGAAAAACCAGUGUCUAGAAUAAGAAUAGCCUGGCCAAAGUUCAGGGAGCUCCUACCUCUGCUGGCAAUUAAGGGCCUCUUGCUCAGGAUGAAUGGCAGACUGUAUGAUGCAUGUGUGCAAACUGCUGUGCUACACGGCUGUGAAACAUGCAUAGUCUUGAAAGAAAUGAAGCUACUAUGAUCCACUGGAUGUGUAAUGUUGGUGUGCAUACCCGACAGAGUGUAAGAGCCCUGAGAGAAAAGUUUUACAUAAGAAACAUCAAAUGUGGUGUGCAAGAAAGACAACUGCACUGGUAUGGUCAUGUGUUACAUAUGGAUGAGGAUAGCUGUGUGAGUGAGUGCCACACCCUAACUGUGGAAGGAACCUGUGGAAGAAGUAGACCCAGGAAGACAUGGGAUGAGGUGGUGAAGCAUGACCUUCGAACAUUGGGCAGAUAUGGGACCAUGUGCCUCACUGUUUAGUUCCUUUACUACCAGAUUAUGUCGUUUCUUCGGUUGACAGGAGUUGGAUAAUUCUAUCAACAAAGUUAUUUUAUCCAGCUCAUGUGUUUUUACUCUUAGGAUCAGCAAUUCUUUAAGUCUAACUCUGACUUCACCUCCCCUAACACUUCCUAGCACCUCACUAUUUUUUUAUAAUAUUAUUAAUUCUAAUUUACAUUCGGUAUGUAAAUAUACAGUUAGACUGUCAAUAACGGCACAGCUUGUAUAGUUCUCUGCUGUUAUUGACAGUUAGAAUAUACUAUUACAUAUAUUGCAUUAUACAUGGGCCUCUUGUCUAUUUAGGCCACUAUGAGAAUCCUAAAUAUUAGUUAAUAAUGCAUCUCUGAAUAUUUUGAUUUGCUUCUUUUAUCUGUUUGGCUUUUUAAAAUUCUAAGUUAGGUUAUAAAGGUUUAUGUAAAAGAAUUUUUCUAAUAUGUUUGUUUAUUUAUUUUCAUCUUAAAUUAUUAUUAUUUUUUCUUUUGGCUCCCUAAUUUGUAGCGAUGUUUACACCAUAAAUGUAUCUUAAAGACUGUUUUCCUAUGCUAGUUACACAUUAAUUGCUGCAUGUGUUUUAAUUUGCCUUCUGUUUUGGUGUGAAAGAGAUGCUAAUUAUACAUUUAUUUAUAUAGCACCGACUGGAAUAUUACCAAAAUUGUCACCCUGACCUCUUUCUUUCUCUCUCCUCUGAUCCCAAUUUCAGAGCAUUAUCUCAUCUCCCAUUAUGCUAGCCUGCCUCCUCUGCAGCAUUAAUAGUGUCCCUUCUGCUAAUUUUAAAGAAGAAAUGAAGCAAGCAAGUGAAGGAAUGAGUGAUAAAAAUAAGAGAGAGAGAGAAAGAGAGUGGGGAGAAUGUGUAUAUGUUGUGCACGUGUGUGUGUGUGUGUAUGUGUGUGUGUAUUAGGUGUAGAUUUUAAAGUGCUGCAACAAACAAGUUCAAGUGUGGCAGCAGCAGUCAGCAAAAAUGUAGAGUAAACAACUAAAUAUAGUGAGAGUUUAUCUUCUUUGACAUUCAUGUGCUGGACUGAAUGCUGCAAAGUUAGGAAGAAGAAUAUCAAGUCUAUUGCAAGAAAGGAAUGUUCCCUCUCUCAAUGUAGGCUUUUGGCAAAUGACCUAAUACUGAUAAAUCUUGACAGUCAUAAAAGGCAGCUUGUUUGAAGAAUAGUAGUAAAAAAAGCUGUUCUCUGUCAGAAAUAGAGAAAGAGAGAGAGAGAGAGAGAGAUCCUUGAAAUCCUAACUUGUCACAGAAUCUCUUAUACUAUUAAAGUAAAUUGGUUCACCAUGCAUUUAUCUUCAGAGGCUUUGGUGUAAGUUUAGCAUUUAGAAAUAGCAUGAGAAACUAUCACCUACCUUCAUUAGUUUUUCUGUUCAUGUUUGUCUGUAGGUUGUAGAUUCAAGCUCUCCUCUACUCUGAAAGCUUAGAAAAAUAUCAAAGUUGAACAAAGCCUAUAGACUCAUUUAUAACAAUAUAGGUUUUGUAGUGUUUUUCUUUACUUGUUAAAAUAAAAAUUACAUCAGUUUUCAGUUAAUAAGACAAAAUUUAACAAACAUUUGAUUAGGAAGGAGAAAGUGUCUGCUAUAUAUUUUAUUUAGCUAAUUGUGUUGAAGCUCCUGCUGAUUGGCAGACACCACUAAUGUGGUAGAUAUAUGUAGGAUCUACAGAGAUUGUUGUAAACAACAAUUUUGCAUUUUAAUCUUAAACUGUAAGCUGAGCUCAGCAAAAUAGUAUUGUUCAUUUAUGCCAAAUCUUAAUUUGCAUAUAUAUGUAGCAUUUCAGGCAAAACUACUGACAAGUAAUUUCCAUACACUUAUACACAUUAACACUCAAGCACACAUACAGGCAAACACACAAGUACUCACACAUAGAUUAAAUCUUUAAGAUAUUUCAUAUUUUAAAAAUUGUAAAAAAAAAAAAAAAAAUUAAUACAAGAUUUGAUUCACCUCACAAUAUUACUCAUGAAUGAUGGGAGUGAGGAAGAUGGUAGGUGAUGGGGGAGAGUAAUUAGCAAGAAAAGAGAAGAUAAAGAAGAGAUUACGGAUUCAAGGUGGCAAAUUUUGGUGGUGGAAAGACAGUAGAAGAGGAGGAGAGAAUGAAGAGAAAGAGAGAUAGAAGAAAAUGAGUGAAAGGACUCUCAGUUAAUAAUAAAAUUCCUGGAGAUUAAGUUUCACCUGCCUCACCUUAUGUAGCUGUACUCUGUAUUGUUGUUUGACACUCUCGUUACUUUUCUAAUGCAAACUUUAGCCUAGCUAUUGAUGACAUUUAUCUCACCUCUCGCUUUCACAUUGCUGCAAAUGUCUGGGCUAUUCCUGCCUCUGUUAAUUUUACAAUUCAUCUCCCUGAAUUUGAGCAUUAAAGUAUCAGUUGUCUAAUGGGGGCUAUUUAAUAAACUAUACACCCCUUUCUCCCAAACAAUUACUUUUACAAGAAGCUGCUUUUGUAAUGCUUUUAAGUCCUAAUUGAAGUUAUUUUGUGCAUCCUUUCAAAACUAUCACAGUUCAAUAAUCCACUGAGGCCUUUCAGAAAUCUUCCUAACAUAAGAAAUUUUGAACUAAUCUAUAACAAUGUAUAUAUGUUAGCUGAUGGAUGAAAUAUUUUAUUUACAUUUCUAGAGGUGGUCAUUUUGUAUAUAGACUAUUAGGUACGAUGUAGGGUGUAUAUAAGAGAAACACCUAUCAGUGACAAAUGUAAAAUGUAUCCAUAAUAUUUGUUGAAUUUGUGAAAAAAGACCAGCUGGCAUCUAGAUUCACACGCAUGCACACACACACACACACACACCACACACACACAUACCACACACACACACACACACACACACACACACACACACACACAUGUAAUGGCAUUUAUUAAAUAUUAUAGAGUGCUACCAUCUGAAUAUGUGUAUUCGUGUAAAAGUGUCAUUGUGUAGUAUUUUGUGUAUGUAUAUGUGUGUAUUAUUGAUUGAUUGAUUCUAGUUUCAGCUCACGAGCUGUGGCCAUGCUGGGGCACCACCAUUUAUGCACAUAUAUUUGUGUGUGUGUGUGAAUGACACUCUUAUUAGCUUACAGUUGUUUGUGCUAAAAGAAGUAUUGCAUUCAGAGGUGAGUGCUUGUAUCACAAAGCUUCCCCUGAGCCAUUUAAAAAAAUGCAAGUUUAUUGUGGAAAGCGUUUAAAUACAUGGAGUUGGUUACACGCAGGACUAUAUAUAAUAUAAUAAAGUUUGAAGGUGAAAAGCCUGCCCAGAAACUAAUAUGUAUAUGUGGAUUUGGUAGACGGAAACUGAAAGAAGCCCGUUGUAUAUAUGUAUAUAUAUAUAUAUAUAUAUAUGUGUAUGUUUGUGUGUUGUGUUUGUCCCCACCAACAUCGCUUGACAACCGAUGCUGGUGUGUUUACGUCCCCGUAACUUAGCGGUUCUGCAAAAGAGAUCUAUAGAAUAAGUACUAGGCUUACAAAGAAUAUACAUAUAUUUUAUAUGUGUGUGUGUAUGUAAAUAUACCUUUAUUUUAAAAUUCGUUUAAAUGCACAGACACAUGUACAAAGAAAAACACUCAAACCUCCAACAUAUAUACAUUUGUGUGGUGAUGCACAUACACUUAGAUAUACAGAUUUACAUAUAUGUACUCACUCAUGCACAGGAUAACUUUCAUAUAACUAUGCAUACAUGUACAGCUAUACAUCCAUCAAAACACAUUUAAAGAUGCAUACACAUCAGUACAAAUAUAUAAAUUAGGUACUUAGACACUUAAACAGGAUUAUAUAAGGGUUAGCUUACAUAACUGAAAGAAACACAUGUAUUAAAUGCAUUCAAAAUAUCAGUAUUUGAUUUUGUCUUUACUCUAAUGUUUGUGUGUAUGUGUAUGUGUGUGUAAUUUAUUUUGUGAUUCACAUAUACACAUUAGCCCUGUUUUGAUCUUUUUUUUUUGACUUGUAUUUGUGUUUCUUGAAUUCUUAAUUUUUAAAAUGAAUUUGGUUUUCCUUUUCUGCAAACAGUAUAACUAUUACCCUAUACUAAUACAGUGUGAUUCGUUUUAUUCAUCGUUAUCUUACUCUAUUUUAAUGUCUAUAGCCAGUGGUUUUAGCCAACUUAUUCCACUGAUUUUAAAACAUCAUAAACCCCCGUCCAAUCAGCUUCAAAUGCUUAUUUGAUGUUUUUACCAAAAAGUUACCAUGGCAUCAGUUAUGAACAUUUAUAAACCAUUGUAUUGUUCCAUAAGUUCACUUCUGUCUGGUGAUGAGUUAUGUGAAACUCAGAGUAAAAGUUUGUCAAGUUUUUCAGCUUCAACAAGACAUUACAUUUUACUUGACCUUUGAUAUUUGAGUAUUAUUUUCUUCACCUUGUUUUGCAUGCAGUUAAUUAUCAAACCAAUUUCAAGGUAUUAAUGGUCUUUCACUUACAUCUGGUACAUUAGUGCUAGAUGAGUUAGUAAAAUUAGACUUCAUUUACAUGACAGAUUACAACACCUAGGUUUCCCAAGCGGUCACCCAUCUAAGUACUAAAUAAGUACUAAUGUUGUUUAACUUUGGUGAUUGGAUGAGAACUGGUGCAUUCAACAUGACAUGUGGAGGUGCAUGGCAUAGUGAUUAAGGUGUUGGACUCCUGAUUGUAGGAUUGUGGUUUCGAUCCCUGCAAUGGGUUAUGCAUUAUGUUCUUGAGCAAAACACUUCAAUGUUUCUCUAGUCCACUCAGCUGAUGAAAAUGCGUAAACCCUGUGACGGACUAGCAAUCUGUCCAGGGAGGAAUAUAUGCACGAGAGAAACUCGGAAGCUGCCCCUGUACUUCUUACUGAGUGAUGUGUUGAAUUCCACUUUGGAUUUGGCAGCAAUAUAGUUUGUUUGUUAGAGUAUGCUGGUAUUUGGAGAUAAGAUAUAAUAUGGAUGAUUUUACUAAUCCUACAUCUAUUGAUAAAAUUUUCUAAGUUGCAGUCACAACUGUGUUCAGUAUACUAUACUGAUAUUACUAGAUAUCACUGUAUUUAUACUGAUGUUAAUGGAUAUCACGUCUACAAUUAAGAUAUAAGAAUGCUGAACACAUAAGAUAUGAUUGAAUAUUGCCUUUUUAUAGGCCUUCAGUCAAAUCUCAUUGUUGCUGUUGUAUAUGUACUCUGAUGUGCACUCAUAUUUAAUAUAAUUUGUGGUCAAUUUCAUACAUAAUAUAAUGUGGAUAUAAUUAUAUCCAAUGUAAGGUGGAUAUCACUAUAUCUGAUAUGUAGACAUCUCUAUAUUUCCUAUUAUAUGGAUGUCUCUAUAUUCUGUAUAAUGUAGUCAUCAGUAUAUUUUACAUCAUGAGUUGAUAUUACUAUAUUAGUAUAAUUUUGAUAUCACGAUAUUCAGUAUAAUACAUAUGUGUGAAAUAUAUUGUGUACAUAUCACUGAAUUUAAUACAAUGUAUGGAUAUCUCCAUAGUUAAUGCAUUGUGGAUAUCAUAUGUUCAAUAUAGUUUGGUUAUCCCAGUAGUCAGUAUAUUAUUAUGACUAUAUUUAGCAUAAUGUGUGAUCAUCACAAUAUUUAGUAUAAUCUCUAGUCAUCACUAAAUUUUCUAUAAUGUGGAUGUCACUAUAUUUAAUACACUGUGAACAUCACUAUAUUUAAUAUAAUGUGAACCAUUCAAUAUUCAGUGUAAUGUGUGUGGAUGUUGCUACAAUUAAUACAAUGUAGUUACAAGUAUAUUUUAAUAUAGUGUGGACACCUCUGUAUAAGAUAUGACAUGUAGAUAUCAUUCUCUUUAAUAUGCUAUAUUGAUAUCUCUGAUAUGAUUUGCGGGUAUCAUUGUAUCUUAAUAUAAUUAAUGGUUACCUCUGGUUACUAUUUGAAAUGAUUUGUGAAUAUCACAAUUUAAUGAGUUAUAUGAUAAUUAUGAUUAAAUAGAAAAAUGAUAAUUACGAUAAAAUACUUACUAUUUCAUUAUGCUGUAAGCAGUCAUUUAUUGACUCCCCCCACUUCAUAGUGAGUAGACUACAACAAGGGUUUGAUUUGAUGUCAGUGCUUCUUACAAGCCAUCAGUGAAAGAACUGCAGCUGGGAGUUGAACUUGUGCCUCGGUUGUUAAAUACUGAGUAUCUUCAACCAAGGCUUUAGUUGAUUGAAUUAACUCCAGUGGAAUUUGGGUUUGGAAUGUAAUGACGGAUGAAAUGCUGCUAGGCAUUUUGUCUAGUGUGCUACCAAUCCUGCUAAGCUCACCACCUUAAUAAUAAUCAUAAUCAUAGUAAUAAUAACAAUAACGAUAAUAAUAAUUGGUGCAGCUCUCCAGCUUACCGGCUCCAGUCAAAUCAUCUUACCCAUGUCAGCAUGGAAAACACGUGCUAAACGAUGAUGAUGAUGAAUGAUAAUGGUUGUUUAGAUUGGAAUAAGGCCAGAAAUUUAUAGGACAUAGCUAUCAUCAAUAGAAUUGGCCCUUAUUUCAUCAACCAUUAAAGGUUGAAAGGAAAAACCCAACUCUGGCAGAUUUGAAUUUAAAACAAAGAAUCAAGACUGAAUGAGUUAGACCAAUUCAUUAUUUUGUUACUUAACAAUCUAUGAUGAAUAUAGUAAUGAUAAUAACGAUAAUAAUAAUUGGUAUUCAAUUCAUUACUUCUCUACUUGUCUAUAAUUUUUCUUCAUAAAACUUGAAAAAUUGAUGUAGCAUAACUUCAACUACUUUGUGAUCUGUAUUUCAACAACUUCAUUUAUGGUUAAUUUACACAAAAUUUACAAAGUUCUCUUCCAGAUAAUUGUGAUCACUAUUAGUUUGUUAUUAACUGCUUACUGCAAAUUUGAACCUAGAAAAGCAGUGAGUAAGGUAACAUUUAUAUAUUAUCUAAGCGGAUAAAGCCAUUGAAAAUUUGGCAUCUCUACCUGGGACACAAGUUCUGAAGCGUAGACAUGUCUUCUAAAGUAGUUGGUUGUAAAUAACCAUUGGAAUGCUAGACUACUUAUCUUAACUGAAAACUGGGUCUUUGAGUUUGUUUGUAUAACACUCUUACCAGUUGUUUUGUCCAUUAAUUCAAAGCAAAAACUGUUGUUUUUUAUAGGCAGAUCUUCAAUCACCUGAUUUACAAAUUCUGGCUCGUUUAUACUGUGUUGAUGUCUCUUUUACCAAUUAUUUCAGCAGAUUUUAUAUUGUCCUAGAAUAUUUCAGUGCUCUCACCUCUAGUCACCCCCACCCCCCCGCCAGAUCUGUGUCUCACCUUUUAGACUUCAUGCACACCACCUUGCUAAUUUUCGCCUAGAACUACAUCUCUUUGGAACCCCCUGUCUGCUCAUGUUUCUCUCCACUGUUACGAUACUGAACAUUAACCAUAUUGUCUCUGUUGCCUUGUAGAGAAAAAAAGCCCAUGAAUUCUAUGGACAUUUCUAAUUCUAGUUUCAAAGAAAUCAAAGAAAGGUGGAAAGAAAAUCUUGAUAAUAGUUUAUAAUGUUAGUUUACUAACAUGUGGGUAUAGAAGUUAUUGUUAAUGAUGGUUAUAUGGUGGAAAUAGCACAAAUAAAACUUGUUUCAUUGUAUGAAGGACGAAGGUGAUCCCAUCAUAUACUAUAACUCAGUAGGUUAUUUUCUUUAUCUCUAGGUUGACUCUGAUUGUGUAGUAAGCCUAUGAUCAGAAGUGUUCUUUCAUGACCAUCUCAUAAUUUUUGUGGAUAUGUGGAACUGUGAUAUGUUCUUUAUUUAUUUAAGAUAAUUGAGUGUUAUUAGAGGGUGCUUUGGCUGCUGUGUCUAGUAGGUAUUACCACUGUAUAGAAGCUUCCUCAGUGAUUUGUUUCUUCAGUGUUUAACUAGGUUUAGCGUGUAAUGGAGCCUCUUCUGCAUUGAAUGUCCUGUUUUUGCCACAUUUUAACUGGAAUAUAAGCAUUUACUGUCUUUGAAUUUAUUUUAUUGAUGUAACCUUUCAAAAAAAUGACUAGAACAUUCCAAGAUUCAACUUUAAGAAUGUUCUUAGUAGCUCUAAAAUAUGUUCAUCUGUUGAAGGAUUUAUUGUCUCAAUUCACUUAUUCUUUAUUAUAAAGUCUAUUCCAUUUCAAUUAAGGGUCUGGUUGAAGUUAGUAUGACCUGAGCUCUGUUUUAUUUGUGUUUCAAUUUUAUUUCUGUUUUACAUUUACUUUUCCAUACCAUUAUAGUUGGGAUUUGUUGGGGCAACUUGUUUAUAACUGCUAAUCACCCCCUCCCCCUCAGCUGUGAUAUAACUAGAGUUUGUCAUCAGCCAAACUCAGCCAGGUAGCUAGUCAGAAACUCUAGGGAGAGCUGAACAGCAGAAGGUCUUCAGAGAGGAAGCCCUCCCCUCUCCUCCCUAUGCAAGUGCUUCAGCUUUAAACUCAUGACUCCUGGAUACUCUGCUGUUACCCUCUGUGCUUCUGUUUGCAUUUCAGUCCUUCUGAGUGGUUAAAGUGCUUCAAAGCCAAAGUAACUUGGGUAUUGUAACUGGUUCAGUCUGAGAUGGGAGUUAAAGUUGGAAUAAAUGAUGCCUCCUGAAAUUCAGUUCCAUUAUUCUUUGACCAGAUCCAGCUGGAACCGUUCUUGGUUGCUUUUGCCAUAUUCUUAAGAGCUCUAGUUCUUUUUCUCUUGGAAAUUGAGAACUGUUUCAUAAGAUCAUUGGCAGAUUAGCCCACAAACCCUCUUGCUCCCACCUUUAUGGCUAGGACUUUGGUUUGGAAGCCAGAUUAUUGUAAUAUGAUGGUUAAGCCUCCAUAUUUCUCAGUCUUGUAGACGUAUACUCCCUCUGCUUUCAUGUGACUCAAUGAGUUCAGUAGAAUAAUGUAACGUGUGUAGUGUUUCAACAUAAUUGUUGUAUGCCUUCUUAAGAUCAGGGUUUUCCCCAACUGACCUGUUCUUGUGGAAUCAGCAAUAGUUAAUCUGAUCUUUUCAUAAUUGAUUUUUAAUAAGAGUAAGUUCAUGUAAUAGUCGUUAAAUAAAGCAAAAAAAAAAAGCAACAAAAAAUAGAUGUCAAUAACAAAACAAACCAAAAUGUUAUAAUACUCAAUUUGCCUAUUCAACAUACAUUUUAAAAUUUGUAUAUUAUUAGAGUUUCUAUGGAAAAUGGUAUUGUAUAUGUCAUAAAAUAUAAUGUUGAUUUUAAAGUCUAAAAAGAUGUUUAUUGUAUAAAGUGUGAGAAGAAUGCUAUUUACUGGACAUAUGAUUAGUGAAUUUGGACUGCUCUUGCAUCUGAACGUAAUUAUACAGUAAAACUUACAUCAAUCGCAUGAUUGGAAACAUGGAACUAUCUUCAUUCAUUAUGCUAGAUCAACUUUCCUUUAUAUUGUCAGAGAUUAUAAAGGCAAAAGUCUGAUCUUUAUUUUUGAUGAAUAUGACCAAUUUCAAGUAAAGUUAAUAACAUCAAAGGUGAAUGGUUAACUGGUUCUUGAACAUUUCAACUGCUUAGAAAAUAUUGACUAUGUUGUGAUCAAGCAAUUAACUGUCACAACCUUAGUGUAAUAUGUAAGUCUCUAGUACUUAUGAUUGUCACCUAUUAUUUAGUUUAUCUUUUAUUUCUGAUUUGGUGCAGCAACUAACAGCAGGGAAGGUGGAGUUACCUUUUGGUGUAUGUGUAUGUUCCGUUAUCUCUGUGUAUGUGUGUGGUGUGCAUAUGCUGAGUGGUAUGUAGUCUGUGUGUCUGAAUGAAUGUUGUCUCUGUGUAUGAAUGUAUGUCUGUGUGUGUGUUUCAUGUCAACAGAUCUUUAGACUAGCCUGUUAUCCAAUCAAGCUAGUAAAAAGCUGUUGUAUGAGUAUCAGUUUACACCAGAGUUGUAUCAGGAACUGGGAAAUGAUAUCAAAAGUACACACAGCAUUCAUGCUAUGUUUCACAUCUAUUAUAACAACACAAAAAUAACAACAGGGGCAAGCAAUAAGUAGCAGUUCCAUUUUGAUUGAUUUCCUUAACAUAAACACUGGCUUGGAGAUAACAAAUACCAGCUAGUGGGUGUCAUGCUGUCUGAGUAACAGGUAAACAAGUAGGAUGCAGUUGAAGUUUGACUUUUUACUAACAAUACUGACCACUACCACUUCUCUUCUCAGCAACACUACUACCACUGGCAUCAUUCUACUAGCAUUGCUUUUUGCUUUGUAAAACAGUCCACCAUUAUCUAGUAUUUAUAUUUAUAAAUAUAUCUACCAAUCUAUAGACUGGAGUUAUCUAAUUCCAAAGCUUGAUGGUUAAAUUUUUAACCAGUUACAAACACUGAAGAUAAUGUCUGUGGCUAAUAUUUCUUAGUAACAUACUUGUGAAAAUGACUGAAAUAAAAGAAAACACUGGCCUGGAAACAUAAUUUUCUUCAGUAUCUCAAUAUUCUGCAUUCGUUUCCUUCAAACUGACUUAACCUUUAAAGGCAGAAAAAAAGAAACGAGCUUCAUUAAUUUAAUUUUCACUGGGAUUUACUUUGUUUUCUAUUAACAAUGAUAAACGUUUUUUCUGACAUAAGUACAAAGCUAUAUAUUACGGGGAGAAAGUUCAGGCAUUUUAUUCAAUCUCUGCACAUGACUGGUUACUAAUGUUUAUCCUCCCUCCCCAACUCCAUCCUGAAUUUUAGAAACAAUGUUAGCCCCGACAUGGUUUGCACACAUGAAGGAACUUUCCUUAAUAGUACAUGCCAUUUUAUCUAAUGAUCUUUGCACACAUGAAGGAACUUUCCUUAAUAGUACAUGCCAUUUUAUCUAAUGAUCCCUUAGUUUUAUGAAUCUAUAAUAUAAGCACAAGUUCAGAAAUUUAUGGAUAAGAGAUUAUUCAGUUUAAUCCCUCAACUUGACUCAUAUUUUAAUUGAUCUUAAGAUGAUGAAAGGCAAAGUUGGCCAUGGCAUGAUUUGAACUCAGAAAUACUGCAAUGCAUUUUGUGAAAAUAUUCUGAUACUUACAAGUGGUGGAGAUGAAAAGCGAAUAUAACACCCCUCCACUCUUAUUAUAGUUGGCUCUUUCUUAUACAUAAAAACUAAGAUGUUUAAAGGAGAGGAACAUAGAUACUCCAACCGAUGAUAGUAUGAAAGCAAUGCAAAGCAAAAAUAUACCUAAAUGUAAUAUUUAGCCAUGUCAGUGUUAUUAAUAUCUGAUAAGAUGUAGUGAUUGUAUAUUCUUCAUAAUUGUUUGAUCUACUUAUGUCAAAUCUCCACCUGUCUGUAUCUCAAAACAAUAGAAACAAACUUUGAAUAUAUAUAUACACAUCAUCUGUUCUAAUUGUCUUCAGUUUUCUUUCAUCUAUUUUUCCAGUUCAAAGACUGCUUCAAUUGCUAAAUGAACCUUUAAAAUAGAUUUAUCAAAAACAUAUUCAAUAAAAGCAGUUCAAAUAAACAAAGAAAAACUGAGUCUGUAUUUAUUAUAGUUUAACAGUUAAUUUCCCCGUAUUUCUUACCUUCCUUGCACAGAAAUCACAUUCUUAAAUAGAUAUUACAUUAAAGAAUUGUUGAAGCGUAACAUUCUUUAAAUGUUUCUCUUAAAUUUUCAAAAACAGAAGAGUAUAUAAGUGUACUGGGAGAAGUGGAGACUACACUUUCAGCUGAGGCCCUUCACCAAAGAAGAAUAAAACCCUCACAUGAAUCACUGGUCCCACUUUUUAUACUACUUCCUAAGUCCCAUGCUUACUCAGAAUUGUUUUUGCAGAAUUCAAACCAUUUCAACCAUGUUACAGUUAUUCCUUAAGUGUCUUUCCAUUGGGUGCUCGUAAACAUUGACUCUUAGCUGUUUUCUUGUUUUAUUUGAAUCCUAUUUAAUUUAUACAUUUUCUUCAUUGCAGAUAUUUUUAAAGAUACUUUUAAUUUUGGUACAAAACUUACUCUUGACUACUGUACAUUCAUUUCACCUUUACUGAAAUGGUGUUCAUCAAUGAUAUUUAGACGUUUCUGUUUGUGAAAUGUUUCCCUCUUCUUCAGUCUUUGAAUAUAUAUGAGUGUAUGUAUAUGUAUGUGUACACACAUACACAUACACACAUGCAUGCACGCACGAUAAGAAAAGUGUACCCAAUACACUUUUUAAAAUUAUUGGAAUUAGGAAGAACCUCUCUCCUUAGAAAUAAGGCUCAAGUGAUCAUUGGUGCACAAUAUAGUUCUUAGUUCUGUCUGAUCCUUUUGAACCAUUUGACCCUUGGCAUUUUGAGUUUUAACUUCACCAUUUUUUAACAUUCAUUUUCCAUGCGUCCAUAAGAAGCAUAAUUCUGAACCACUUGGUUCCAUGCUCAGUCCCACUGGAUGACACCUUGAAUAAGUGUCUUCUACACUUUGUGAGUGGAUUUGGUUGUUUGGUUGGUGGAAACUGUAAGAAGCCUGUUUGUGUGUGUGUGUGGUUGUGUGUACUUGUCUUGACAUUAAAUGACGGUUGUAAAUGAGCAUCAAAAAUGUGUUUGAAGGUAAGAGUAUCUGGGGUAUUAUAUAAAUAUAUAUAUUACUUACACUCACACACAUCACAUAUAUAUAUGCAUACAUACCUACAUUCAUAUCUAUAUAUAUAUAUAUAUAUAUAUAUAUAUAUAUUACACACACACAUACAUAUAUAUAUAUAUAUAUAUAUAUAUGUGGCUAUGUGGUAAGAUGCUUACUUUCCCAGCCACAUGGUUCUGGGUUCAUGGUUCUUCUACUAUAAGCUCAGGCUGACCAAAGUUUUGUGAGUGGACUUGGUAGACAGAAACUGAAAGAAGCCCAUCGUAUAUAUAUAUAUAUAUAUAUAUAUAUAUGUGUGUGUGUGUGUUGAUUUGUUUGAGUAAAACCCUUCAAGGUGGUCCUCCGGCAUGGCCGCAGUUAAAUAACUGAAGCAAGUAAAAAAAUAAAAGAAUAGUAUUUAUAUUACAUCUCAUAUACAUGCAUGCAUACAUACAUACAUACAUGCAUGCAUGCAUACAUACAUACGUACGUACGUACGUACGUGCGUGCAUGGAUACAAACAAACAAAAAUACCCUGUUGCUGAUGUUGAAAUUCCAAUGAAGGAGCCUUGGGUCUAUGUUAGAAACUAGUUCUUUCUCUGUUGGCAAGAAAUUUUGAAAUAAACUGAAUAAUGACAUACAUACAAUUUGGGAUAGAGAAGAGAAACUGUGUGCAAUUGUGGAAAUUAGCUGCCCAGCAGAUGUUAACAUAAAUCUGAAGAUCAAUGAAAAGAGAACACCUAUGUUGAACUAUUGAGAAAUCUUCAGUUACUCUAUCCAGAUAACAAGUUCAGGUUUAUACCUGUAAUUAUUAGGCCCUUGGGAUAUGUAACACAUUGCCUAAAUACCUAUUUCUUUAUUACCCACAAGGGGCUAAACAUAGAGGGGACAAACAAGGACAGACAUAGGUAUUAAGUCGAUUAUAUCGACCCCAGUGUGUAACUGGUACUUAAUUUAUCGACCUCGAAAGGAUGAAAGGCAAAGUCGACCUCGGCGGAAUUUGAACUCAGAACGUAGCAGCAGACGAAAAACCACUAAGCAUUUCACCCGGCGUACUAACGAUUCUGCCAGCUUGUCGUCUUAAAUUUGCCUAAAUACCAAUCUUGAGACAUUAGGCUUCUCAAAGCCAGAAAGGAGAAAGCUAAUUUGAAGACUACAGAUCCAAUCCAUCACUGGAACUUUAAAAAUCUGUAAAACUUACCUGAAGUUUAGCAUUUAAAUAUAUAUGAGCAUGUCUAGAUAUGCAACUAUAUGCAAGAGAAUACAUACAUAAAACAUACAAAUCUGCACGUAAAUACAUACAUGCACACAUACAUACAUACAUACAAAAAUACCCUGUUGUUGGUGUUGAAAUUCCAGUGAAGGAGCCUUGGAUCUAGGUUAGAAACCGGUUCUUUCUCUAUGGGCAAGAAUUCUUGAAAUAAACUUAAUACAUAGCUACAUACCUAGAUACACACACACAUAUAUAUUAUCAAUUUACUUGUUUUGGUCAGGAGACAGCAUCUUUGUUGGGGCACUGUCAGGAAGAAUUUUAGUUGAACAAAUCAAUUCUAGGACUUUUUCUUUUAAGCUUGCCUCUCUUUCUAUCGGUCUCUUUGGCAGAACCACUGAGUGAUAUAAACACAUCAGCACUGGUUGUCAGGUGGCAGUGGAGUACAAACACAAUGUAAAACGCUCCUACACAUGUGCGCGCACACGCACACACACACACACACACACACAUGCGCACGUACGCGCAUGCUUGUGCCGGUCUUCUUUCAGUUUCUUUUUACCAAAUCCACUUUUAGGUGGCCCAAGGCUAUAGUAGAAGACACUAGCCCAAAUCAGGAAGCAAAAAUACAGCUGUGUCUAGCUGUGUAGUUGUAAAACUCACUUCCUAACCAUGUGGUUCUGGGUUCAGUCCUACUGCAUGGCAUCUUUGGCAAGUGUCUUCUACUAUAGCCUUGGGCUGGCCAAAGCCUUGUGAGUGGAUUUGUAACAUGGAAUGUAAAAAGUUACCUCUGUGUGUGUGUCUGCAUGCAUAUGUGUCUUUUUUUUCUUAGUCCUAGACAGAUGCCAUUUGUUCCUAAUCUUUGUUUCUGCAGAAAACAUGUCUGGCUAUAGAAGAAAUUAAAUUAUGCUAAGUUCAUUACUUUCUUACAAAGUUUUCAGUUUUCCUAAGUAAGGAACAAUAAUUACUAUUAUUAUCAUUAUUGUGAAAAGUUGUUUCGUGAAAAUAGUGGAGAAUUUAGUGCAGCUUUUCUGAUUUCAAAUUUCAAUACUGUCACUUUCAACUUACAUCUUUCUUGGAUCAAUUAACUAAGUACCAGUCACAUACUGGGAUCCACCCAGUAAGUAGUCAUUAUUAUAAAGAUUUUUGUAUCUUUUGUUUUUUAUAUAAGAUACACCUGAGUAGAUUUUAUAAACACAGGUGCAGAUGUGGCUGUGUGGUAAGAAGCUUGCUUCCCAACCACAUGGUUCCAAGUUCAGCCCCACCUCUUAGCACCUUGGACAAGUGUCUUCUAUUGUAGUCUCAGGCUUUGUGAAUGGAUUUGGUAGAUGGAAACUGAAAAGAAGUUUGUUGAAUGUGUGUGUGUGUGUGUCUUUGGUGUUGGUGGUUUAUGUGCCUGUAAUGUAGCGGUUCACCAAAAGAAAUUGAUAGAAUAAGUACCAGGCUUUAAAAAAAAAAAAAAGUACUUGAGUUGAUUCUGUCAACUAACAAUAAUUCAAGAUGGUGCCCCAGCAUGACUGCAAUCUAAUGACUGAAACAAGUAAAAGAUAUAAAGAUAUACACUUACAUAACCAGCUUCUUUCCUUCAGAUACUAUUUUUGAAGCUGGAAAAUAUUUAAAUAAGUUUUGCAAAUGAGAGAUGAUUUGAAAUGUAUUAAUAUAGUUGUGUAUGAAAAUUAUCAAAUGUAAUUGUGGUUAUGUGGCAUGUAGUAGCAGGCUCAGCUUGCAAUAUGGGUUGGAGUCCUAGCUGAAGCUGUUUCAUAAAUUGCUGCUGCUUUUGAGAUAUUAUAAAAUCCCUUUACCCUCUUUCUCAUAUCUUCUCCACUUCAUCAUCAUUACUAUUGUAAAUCAAAGUAAUAGCCAGUCUAAUUAUCUGAGAGUCUCUCUUUCUCUCUCCACAAAACUAUUUGACACAAAUAAUAUUUAGCCUCAUUAGCUACAACUUCAAAAUCAAGUUUCCCUUCUUUAUUGUAAUAACUGUUUUGUUGCUGUUAGUGUCCCAUUGAUAUCAGUGUAGAAAGACAAAUGUUAAACUGCUGAAGAUGAGGAGUAGGAGGAGGAAGAUGAUAACUGACUUUAGACUAACUUGGGGACUUAGGUGGCCUGAAGUAAAAAUCAGUGAAAAAUCUUCAAUAUAUGUAACAGAUGUCUGCUGUAAUGAUGUUGAGUUUCACUGCUAUUAAUAAACUGCAUAUAAGAUGCUAUGGGUAAUUAACCAAGAUAACGACUUUCAGCACCUGUUAGGAACAUUUAGCUUACUACUACUACUGCUGCUGCUGCUACUACUACUACUACUACUACUACUACUACUACUACUCUUCCUCCACCACCACCACUGAUCCAGAUCAUGAGAUUUUUCAUAAUCACUAGUUAUGGACUUAUGACAUGGUUUUAGAAUUUUCUCAUGUUUUUCACAUUCUGAAAUGAAAUGUGUGGAUGGGUGUAUUUUAUAAACCAAAUAUGUCAUCUUUUGAGUUAAUUGUUUUUGUAAAUUGUUUUAAAUUCAUUUAGAGAUCCUUACUGCAAUUUCUGUUAACCCAUUCACAUUACACUGCACAGUAUAAUAUAAUAAUUAUUCUAUCAGGUACACUUGUUGAGUAAUUAUUCUAUCUGUUAACAUUGUUUUCUGUGUGUUAAUCCUAUGUAUUUUCUACAUUCUAUACACCAUCAUCAUCAUUGUGUGUGUAUAUUAUAUUAACUGUGUCAAUGUAUCGACCAGAUUAUGUGAUGUUGUUAUACACCACUGGUCACAAUGCAUUUCCUUGCAUUGUUGUAGCUUUCAAAUGAUGCCACUUCCCCCAGCUUAGGUAGGAAGGCUAACGUUCCUCCUGAACAGAAGACCAACAUCUGUCACAGGGUUACCCACUUACAGCUGAGUGAACUGGAGCAAUAGGAUAUGAAGUGGUUUGCUCAAGAAUACAAUGCACUGCCACUCUGGCAACUGAAACCAAUUGUGAAUUCAGCACCCCGAGCACUAGGGCAUGAACCUUCACAUAGAUUAGAUUACCUUUGGUUAAAUAUAGAAAUUUCAUUCACAGGCACAUAAGUUUCAGUAUAUGGUCAAACUUGAACUUAGUAUAAAGUUGCUAAUAUUUUAGUACCAUAUUAUGCUAUGCUAUUGAUCACACGUUUAAUGAGUUUAAAUUCUACUGCAACUAUUAUGUUCUAUACUUAGGCAAGUCAUGGUUAUAUAGUCUUGGUCUAUAUAACUGACCUACUGAUUCUUAAGUAGACAUAGCCAAGACAUUCAACUGUAAAAGUGCUUCAGUAGUAUACAAAUUUACUCUAAACCAAUCAUGCUGAAAGGGAUAUGAGAACAAUUGAAAAAUAAAUAUGUGUAGCGUUUUGUGCAUGGCUGUACUGGAUUCCGCAAUGUACCAUGUUUCAUGCAUAUGAAGUAUUUAGUAUCUGAACCGGACUCGAUAAUUGCGUAGUGGUCUACUGUUAAGAAUGCCAUACUCUCCAUGUUACUUCCACAACAGAGCAGGUCAGAUGUUGCCAAAUCAGGUUGAUUACUAAGCAUGGUGCCAGCAAACAAAUAAAACAUUACAAAUAAAAUAAUUAACCAAAAGUAAAAAUACCAAAAUUAGUGCAUAGUUAGUUUGGACUAAGUAAGACAAUUGCUCUCUUAAAUGUUACUAAGUUUAGUUAUUUUGAAUUGUGUGAGCUAUGUUGUUAACCAUACCAUUUCCUCUGUCAACCACAUCAAAUCUGCAUUCUGAUUUGGUUCUGAAAUAAGUAGAAUAUCUUUUGAUGUAUGAUUUUACUGUUGUUACAGAAGAUGUCACUUGUGUUGUGAUGGUAGUAGUUGUAGUGGCACUGAUUGAUUGUUGUUGUUUCACCCCAUGGCAAUAACCCCAAUCAAACAAACAUUUGAUCAGAUGUAUUUUUUUACUGUAGCCAUCUUUUCUUUUAUAGGACUACAUUAUUCAAUAUACCGUUCUUUAAUACUAGGAAGGUGUCAUCUGAGGAAAGUUUGGUUAUCAUUUCUAGCAGGUGGAUUUAUCAUCUUGAGCAGUGGUUAUCAACCGGGGUCCAUAUAGCCCUUGGGGUCCCAUAUAAGAUUUUGUUGUUAAAUUUUAUGUUCAAUAAAUUGGAUAUAUUUCUACAAUACACAAAAUAUUUUCUGCAAUGCACAAAAUUCCUAAAAAUAUUUAAUCAUAAAAAUAUAAUAGUUUUUAAACAGGAAUCAAAGGGGUCCUUAUGCAAAACAUUGUUGAGAGCCUCUGAUCUAGAGGCACACUUGUUGGCUUGUGACUGCAACUGGAUGUUCUUGUUUCAUCUCAACUCAAUCCUGACCAAUGGUCAAAGGCAUUCCACUGAUGACAAUUCUGUUUCUUCUUCAUGGCCAGCUUGGACUAUAUUAUGUUAUUUGCCCCCCCCUUUUUUUUUAAAUAACAAAAGUGUGAUUUGAUAAUUUGAUAAAAGUUGGUGUUAGUGGAGGUGGCCAGUGUUGAAGGCCUUGGAUAUCUCUUGAGAUACGAGUUAAUAUUUUGUUGGGGUAUGUCACUAUCUCUGGGCAGAACACUUAAUUCUGCACCUCUUCUCUUUACGUAACUGUGGGAAAGUCAGUUAUUGCAUGUGAGAGCAUUACUUGAUUUAAAUCAGUGUCUGAACCAAUAGGAAAUUUGACUCUGUCUGCUUAAUGCCACAGAAUCCAGAUAUAAACACUAGUUUAGCAUCUCUUGCAGUUCAUAGAGUGACAUCAUUCAUCAUUGUUGCUAUACUAUUAUUAUUGUUAUUGUUGAUAUAGAUAUCUAACAGUGAAACCUUCCCCUCUCAAAAAAAACAAGAAAAAAAGAAAAAAAAAAGAAGUCAUUUAUCUAUCUUGGGUAAAAUGAUUCUCUGAGAUUUAGAAAAUAUGUGACAGUAAUUCAUGAUUAUUCUUUAUCUAUUCACUUUUCCUUCACACACAUAUAUAGAUUUGUCAGAAUAAUAUUAAAAAAAAAAGAAAGAAAGAAGAGAUGACCCACCACCACCUCAAAGAAUUUAUCUAAUUUUCUAUACUUUGUGUUUUUGAAAUUGGCUCAAACAGGAUUUGGAAUGUUGAGUCAGUUGUCUUGUGCCACAGAACUUGGCACCAUUUCAUUUUUUUUUAAGACUUGAAUUUUGUUGUGGUCAGCUUCUCUCUAUCCUGCAUUGAUAAACCAAAUACCAGAAAAUAUACUUUUUAGCACUUUUAUAUGUGGUAUGCAAGUAAUUUGAGAUGGUUGUGGCUCUGUGAUAAGAAGCUUGAAUUCCAACCGGAUUCAGUCUCACUGCGUGGCACCUUGGGUGACUGUCUUCUGUUAUAAACCUCAGAUCGCCCAAAGAGUGAAUUUGAUAGACAGAAGCUGAAAGAAGCCAAUUGAAUAUAUAUCAAUGUUGUGUGUGUGUGUGUGUCUUUGUGUUAGUCCUCCACUACUGCUUGACAACAAGUAUUGGUUUGUUUACGUCCCUGUAAUGCGUUGUCUUGGCAAAAGAGACCAGUAGAAUAAAUACCAGACUUAAAGAAAUAAGUACUGGGGCUCAAUUCAUUUAAUCCUUUAGUGUUCAGAUUAAUCUGUCAAAUGUAAUGACCAUUUGUUCACGUUGUUUGGAAUUAUUCAGGUUCAAGAGGGGUGUCCACAAUAUUUGCUUGUAACUUUGUAAAUUUUUUACAUACAAAUUUGAAAUUUUGUCAGUGGGUACUUAUAUACCAGUGGAUUAAAGUUAUGCAAUUUUAGCUAAUCUUAUCGAUUAAAUUUGACAUUUAUGGGCAGGUAAAUUUAAUUAACAGGUAUAAAAGCAAUAACAUUAUGGAUAGACAUCAAAAUUGAAAUUCUUAAUGCAUUUUACCCGUUUGAUUUGUUACUAAAAUUAUCCCAGAUGUCAACUGCCAAACAUUUUGCCACUUUCCAAGAUGAGGUACAUUAAUUUGAAUUAAUUAAAAUACAGGCUUAAUUGGUACAAGAUUUUAUUCUUUCUCUAUAUUUCAUUCAAACAUUUUCAUUGAAAAUAAAGUACAAUACUCUUUUACUAGUCAAUCUAUCAUUGGCUGUGUACUCUUAUACAAUUCAGUGAAUACAUUUACAUAACAGAAUGCAUCUAAUAAAGAAAAGCUCAUUAACAGGUGAGGCAAAGGUGAAUACAGAUGUGCAACAUAGUGAAAAUUAAUAUGUAUUUCUCCCUUUCACAUAUUAUUGUAAUAAAAUGAAAGGAAUAUAGGAUAGUAUUACUAUCAAACAACAAAAUAUAGUUAUGCUAUAUUUCUAUCAUGAAACUGUCCAAAGGAUGUUGUGUAAAACACAAGGUCACUUUGCAAAACGAACACAUAGAUGAGGUCCUUUUGCAGUUUUUCUUUUUUUGCAGCGAACACAGUCUGCAAACAUUUUCCCUUCCAUUUAUUUUUUCCACUUUAUGGAAGUCAAUAUAUUCUCUGUUGACAUCCACCUCAGUUAAUUUUGCUUUUCUCCCAGUUCUGUGCAUCCUGGAAGAAAAACUUUGACAUAACUGAAAUGUGAUGUGAACCUGAAAUUUCAAAUGGUCGCAAUCCUUUGGUGGUGGAGGUUCCUUGUGACUUUUUACAUAAACAAUAUAUGAAUUAACUAUAGUUACACAUAAUGCUGGAGAUAUAUGGAUCACCAUACCUUAUAUCAGCAUUCUAGUAGUUCCACAGUUGAGGAAGCUGUUUGAUGCCAAACAAUGUUUAUAGUAAAGAAAGCUCGCAUUUCCUGAGUGGAUCAGGUCUUCCAUGAAUAGAAAUUAUGCAUUGAACAUUUGAUUCCUCUGCAACAGUUUCAAAAACACUUUUUGGUAAAAAUAAAUAGUUCAAUGGUUGAGCAUCAGGAGAUAGACUGUAUUGUGUAGACUAGUCUUUUCUGUGAAAUUGGGAAUUGUGGUUGAUGUAGUAAUCUUCAACUAUGUUGCCGUAGUGUUUUCAGUGUCACUUUCAGUGCAUGAGGGAUGUUGCAUCUUGAUAAAUUUCCAUACAAGUUUCUGAUUGUUCAAUAAGUAGAACAAUGUGCUUGAAAAAAGUGAUCAGACAGCAAUCCUCAAUGAUGCUGAGCAACCUUUUCUCUGUAAAUGUGUACCAAUGUGAUGUUGUGUGGCAAACUUGGUUGUGAUGGAACUGUAUUUCUUUGGAGAAAGUGGAUUUGCAGUAGCAUGUCUGAAUUCUGAAUUCCUGUUACACUGCCAUCUUUUCUCAGAAUUGAACAGACAUGUCAUUAACAUAUGACUUUUGCAACAAGAUAGACUGCCCAUAUACAAGAGCUUCCGUCGACAUUAAAGAAAUGGUAACUAAUUGUAUCAUUUCUCAACAUCACGACAUGCUAUGCCUAAUUGAUCACUUGACCUUUUGCUUUAUGUUCAUUUCCUUAGGAAAUUUUGGACGAUUGAUGAACAUUUCACAGGGAAAAUGUUCAUCAAUAAACCAUGCACACAAGACGAGUUGAAAGCUGCUAUUCAUUGAAAGAUUGUGACAAAACAUGGUGCAGCAUACUAUACCAAACUUGCAGACUAGGCUAUAAGUGUGUGUGUGUGUGUGUGUGUGUGUGUGACCACAUUGUGAAGCAUUCAAAUGAUGUAAUUUUCAAAACUAAGUGAAAAUGUUACUUAAGUGUUAUGUGUUUAUAAAUGACACACUUUAGGUUGCCAAAUAUUUUAUAUAUAUUUGGCAACAUUGUAAUUUCUCUAAAACUUAUCAGAUUUCUUUGUUAAACCUUGUAUUUAUAUGAAAGUAUGGUGGUGGUAGUGGUGGGGGGACAUGUUUUUAGUCAACUAAGUAUCUCUUAUCCAAAUUUAAUACUUAAUCAGAAUCUCUUCAAUCACGUAACUAUCAUCCUUUUUAUCAUCAUCAUCUUCACUGUUAUUAUUGUUGUAUUACUGCUUUGUUUAAUUUUUCAUUUAAAUGUUCUUCUUUCACUGACCACUAGGCUGUGGCACCAGAAAUGUUACCAGACUAAAACUCGGGUUUCAUUUACAAAAUUUCAGCCCACAGUAGUAUGUCAUUUUAUUGACUCAGCUAAAUACAGCCCGUAAUAUUUUAUUUUUAUUGAUUUCAAAUUUAGUCUUCAUUAUUUGUGAUUAAGUCUUGGCAAUGGUGAUUAUGCAGGGAGCAGUGGUCUGAGCUGCGUUUCAUUCACUGCUUCAUGCUGCCAAUUGUAACCUCAGAAGAGAGCUGUGGAUCGGAAGAAUCAUUGGGAAAAAUGCCAUCUGGUGUUUAAAUUACAGUCCUCUAUGUUUUUGAGUACAAAUCCCACUGAGGUGAGCAUUGCCUUUCAUUCAUUUGAGAUUAAUAAAAUAAAUGAUUGUCAAAUACUGGGUUUGAUGCAGUCAAUUGCAGGCUUAUGCAUGUCACCUGUGCUUGGUGUCCCAGUUCAGCAAUGAACAGUUACUGAAUGACCUACAGAGGCCUGUUGGCAUUAUGUUGUUCAAGACUUGCAGGGAAAGUGAUCUUCAAAAAAUAUUUGGAAAGAUGGUAGUCAAAAGUUGACCAAAAGUAGUGUUACAAAAUAAUGGAUUACUUCAAUUAUCUAUGGAUCAUUCUUUUAUACAAAAUAUCUUCUGUUUAUUCCAAAGAAAUUAUGAAUAUAUUUUCACUCUCUCUCUCUCUCUCUUUUCAAAAUAUAUCAUCAGUAGUAGUAGUAUCCUUGUCUUAGCUAUUGCAGGGUACCGGCCUCUUUUGUUUGAGAAGUGUCAGAUAGGUAGCAUUUGGUUAUCUUUAAAGUGUAUACCCCACUCUUUGUUAGGUAUUCACUUUAAUUCUACAGUCUUCUUACCCAUCUCAACUGCUGGACUAAACAAAAAAAAAAUGCUUAGAUUAACCAAGAAGUAGUAAUGAUCAAUUGAAUAUGGUCAGUCCUUUGACACUAUGCAAUUCCAUGUUCUGAGUUUGCAAUCAGGAUAUGGUUUCUUUCCACAGAGUUAAUGUGAUUCUUAUGAAAUGUGUUACGGAAGGACUAAAAUCUCCAUUUAAAAUAAGUUUGUAUUUUUCAUAAUUUAAUAGUGGAAGUUAAAGUUUUAAGAAAUGUUUUUUUUUUAUGUCAUGAAACAUCAUUUUGUUAACUCUAUACCUACCCUUCCUAUGCAUUAGUUUUAUCAACAAGAUUAAAAUCUUUUAUUUAUAGGUUUCUGUUAUGGCCAUGCUAGCAUAGCCAAACUUGGUUCUGUGGGUUUAGGUACAUGUCUCAGUCUUUGGAGCCUUUUAAUUGAUAAGUUAGUUUCUAAUGCUCAGUAUACAGAAUGGUAUUUAUAUUUCAAGAAAGAUGGCUAAUAUAAAUGUAAUACAUCUUAUCUGUAUCAGAAUUUCCAUCUUUUACUUUUUGAUCAUCAUUAUUCUGUUUUCAUUAUUGAUAAACAGAGAAACACAAUAACUGCUAACAUGUCACCUUUAGUGAAACUAAAAACAGGUUCAAACCUCUCUAUGACUUUUGAUGUUUUAUUUGUUUAUGAUUUCAUGUAUCUCGUUGAUACAAGAGAUGCUAUUCUACAUUGUGUUGCUAUCAUUUAAUUAGUGCUUACAUUUUUAUGACAGUUUACUGUCAUAGAAAAACUAUAGCUAGUCAUCUAAAAACUAUAGGUCUCUGACUAGAACACAGGGUGAAGCUACAGACUGACUCUAUAUUUUAUCUAAUUGGUAGACUUAAGAAAAAGAAGAAGAAAACGACAUGUAGCCAUACAUUGAUAAUAAUCCUCCAAAUUGGAAAAGUUCAAUAUAGACUUUGAUGUUCUAUUAUACAGCAUCAUCCAUUCAUUAAAAAUUCUGAUGGCAUUUCAGCCAUUAGUUAUUCUUUGAGUAAUUUUCAAAUUCAUUGCAGCCUUUAGUUAUUGUUGGUAUAUUUUAACAAGCUUCAAGUAAAUCAUGAGAUUAGUGAAACUCAUUUGAUGAAUAGCCAUCAUCUUCAAUUGUUCUGUUGGCGGUAUGUUGUCAGUUUUGGAUAUAAGUGAAGUCUGCUAUCUGCCCUUUAAUUGGUCAGCAAUCAUGUGCGGCUCAACUACUGCUAGUAUUCUUUCUUGAUUCUUACAAUUUUCAAUAGUUUUCUUUGCUGCCUUCUCUCAUUGUCUUAACAAAUCAGUCUUUUGUAUUAAUAGUGAAGUGCUUUUAUAAAGUUUUUCUUAUCACAGUUGUGAAAAGCUUGCUUCCCAUCUUGUUCUAGACAUUAUUUGCAAUUAAAAAUAGAAAUAUUACAGCUUUUCAUUUGCCAUGAGUUCUGUACACCACUUAAGAAGAAUUGCUCCCUCAUUUAGGGUGGUACCUUUUACCAUCACUAAAGACACUUGAAAAAAUAUAAGUCAAGGCCAUUCUUCUAAUUGGUAAGUGUUCAUUGCAGGCACUUCAAGUUAGCCUCUUGGUCUUCACCAGUGUGGCUCCACAUGAUUAUAAUUAGCAUUAUGGCUGCAGAAAACAAUUAAUUUCCUGUUUUAACUGCCCAACCAUGCUUAAUAAAUGUCUUUCACCCACAACUGACCAGAAGCAUACCAACUCAUUCUUCAUUAUUAAUAUAUUGUCAUGCUUUAGAGAUAAUCCAAAUAAUUUUUAAUUGGAUCUCUCUCUCUCUCUCUUUUGUUUUUUCUUCAACAUUUUAGGACUGUAUAAAGAUAAAUUUGGAAAAGGGUGUACUUCAAACAUUGAACUGUGAUACUUUAUAGAACACACUAUUUGGAAAUAAAUAUCAACUCUCUUUAACAUAGGAAUGAUGGAUUCUAAAAAAAUUACCAACCACUUAAAGUAUUAUCUAUAUUUUCUGACAAAAGUGAUCUUUAGUCCUUCAUGAGACUGAAUCGUAAUUAAGAGAGGACUUGAGGGGGAAAUAACAGGCAUUUUUAGGAAUGUGACAUAAGGACUCCCUUCAAACUGUCUUCUGCACUCUAGUACCACUACUGUUGCUGCUGCUAAUAAUAAUAAUAAUAAUAAUAAUAAUAAUAAUAAUCUUUUCUAUAGGCACAAGGCCUGAAAUUUUAGUGGGAGGGGGCUGGUUGAUUAUAUCAAUCCCAGUGUUUAACUGGUACUUAUUUCAUUGACCCUCAAAGGAUGAAAGGGGCUAAGUUGACAUUGGCAGAAUUUGAAUGCAGUUUUGAAUGCAUGCUAACAAUUCUGCCAGCUUAACUAUCUUACUACUACUACUAUUACUACCACUGCUGCUGCUGCUGUUGCUACUACUACUACUACUACUACUACUACUACUAAUAAUAAUAAUAAUAAUAAUAAUAAUAAUAAAAAUCUCGUGAUAGUAGAUUUUUUUAGUAUAUAAAAAUGCCUAGAAAGACAGAACAGAUUGCUACAAUAAUUAUAAAUUCUAUUAAAUUCACUAAUUAUAGAUUAUAUUUUCUUGCUGAGAUGGAAGAUUGGAGUGAUAGGACCAAAUAGUGAAAGAAUGCAGAUGAGCAGCUGGAGAAUUGCUAUUUCAGUUCCAUUUGAUACUUCAUCACCUAAGGCAUAAUGGUGGGAAAUUUCCUAUUCUCUCAUUUAAUUCUCUAUGUAUACAGGUUUUAUCUUGUUGGAAGAUAGGACAAAAACUGACCAACCUAAUUACAUUAUCAUGUGUGUAUGUGUCAGGAUAAAGUGUUUAAAAUGUUUCAUUUAAAAUUUCUUUAGCAAUUGAUAAUUUGUAUUUCCUGUCAUAUUGCUGAUAUCUUUAAUAUGUUCAUUAUGUUGAACAAUGAAAAUCACUUCUGGAACUAAGUGUAGACUUUGAAAAUCUUGAUUAGAAAUUAUUUGGAUUUUCUGUUCAGUUUUACCAACUUUGCUAGAUCAAUAGACCCAUUUUGAUAUUAAAACCAGUGCUUGGAGGAGGUCGUUAAUACUGUUGGAUGCAAUUAAUUUGCAGUUUCUUCUCAAAGAAACAAAAAUUUAUUAUGGAUUCUUUUAAGAGAUGUUAGACUAAAGAAAUCAGCGAAGCUAAACUACUCUAAAAGCAGUUGGGUGAAAACGUUUUGAAACUAUUUACACUUCCGUUCAUCAGUUUAUCUAUUUCUUUUUCUUUUUUGUAUCAACAAUUAUGAAGUUUUUCAACUGGGUAAAUGCGACACCUGUAGUUUUCCUUUAGUUUUAUAUCGUUCAACAUUUUUUUGCCAUUUUGGAUUUUAUAUUCAAUCUAAAUACUAGGGACCAACUGUUUGUGAGUUAGAUGAUGAUGAUGAUCACAACAACAGCAAUGACAAUACUGAUGAAGACUGUCAUGAUUAACUUUGUUGUCAACAUCAUCAUCAUAACCACAACAAUAGUUUUCUUCCUGCCAUGCAUCAUCCAUUCAUGUCCUAGAUUCUUACUAGGUGGACUUGUCUCCAUACACCGACCAAAUAUUCUUGUGUUUUUGAUGUUGCUUUCUCAUUCAUUUGCAUUGCACAUAGCCUUUCUUUUUUAUUCAGCUUACCAUAUUCAGUUGCUGUGAAUCAUUUACAUUCACAGUUCUUUGUUGCACUUUGCACUUAACUGCAAUCUUUCUAACAGAGGUGGGUUGCUGUUCCCCACACUUUAAGGUCCCAAUUACUAUGAUGUCACUAGCUCCAUUUUGAGCACUUCUUAUAUUGUUUGGGUAACAGAAUUUAUAAAUUACUUCCAGCAAACCUAUGGUCUCCGCUUAAUAGCUGCUUCUGUUUUCAUGUUAUUAUCUAUUACAGUACAUCUUUUAGUCUGUAAAAUCCUACUGCAUUUUCUCUCCUUGUAAUUAUUGCUUGGGCUGAUUACACAGUGUAUUUAGCACUUGGUGUAUUUUCUUCUUCAUACUCCGGAAGGCAACACACUUCUCUAUUGCUAUUGGGCAAUUAUGGCUCACAUCACUGACAUGUGUCUUAUCCUUGGUUAUGUUCUUUUGCCUAUAGACCUUUUGAAAAUUUCAAACUUAUGUGAUUAUCAGUUUUACAGAAAUUCUCAUAAGCUGUGUAUAAUUACCUCAAAGACAGCAAAGAAGGGAAGAAAAGACACAAAAUUCUUUGAGUGUCCAGCUGUCAUCAUCACUGAUGUCAUGUUCACUUUUCUGUGUAAGCAUGCUUUAGCCAAGUCAAUUUCAACACAGUCUCUCCACUUGUCACAUUCCUUUGUCAUCUCCUGUUGUGAGGCUCCCCAGCCUGAGAUCAGUUGUCACCACUUAUGUCCACAACAGCAGUUUGGUAGCUGUCUGGUGGAGUGCAAUAGAGCCUAGUGAUUCAUAAAGUUGAUCAGGUUGUACAGGAAGGUUUCAUGUCCAAUGACUAAUGUAGCAUUCUUUACAUUAUUUACAUUAUUUAUAUUCGACGGAUAUUUGUCCUCAUCUUGUUUGUUGUUAUACCCUCCAAGCCUUCAUCAGGUGUCUUGGGGAAAUUUCAAACCUGGGUUCUCAUUCCUAAGGUAUUUUUUGAUGUUGUUGUUGUUGUUAUUAUUAUUAUUAUUAUUAUCCAGGAAUCGAACUCGGAAUCUUAGGGUUAGUAGCCUGCGCUCUUAACCACUACACCAUAUGCCCAUAUAGAACUGUAUGAUAUAGCAUUAUAGUCAACAGUUACAAGGGUAAAGAAGAUGCCUUAGAGAUAGGUAAUUGCAGAGGCAUCAAAUUGCUGGACCAGGUCAUAAAAGUUACUGAAAGGGUUAUAGUUAUAAUUUAGUAGCAACGGAGGUUGCUAGAAAAAGAACAGGAUGGAGAAAGUUCAGAGAGCUGUUGCUUCUGUUGGCAACAAAAGGCAGACUGUACUAUGCAAAUGUACAAGCAACAAUGCUACGUGUUAGUGAAACAUGGGCUUGGAUAAAACGACUUAAAAGAAACAAAGCUAGCAUGUUCUACUGGAUGUGUAACAAGGUGCAUGUACAACAAAAUGUAAAUGUGUUGAGAGAAAAAUUGGGCAUAAGAGGCAUGAGGUGUAGUGUGCAAGAGAGAGGACUGCAUAGGCUUAGCUGUGUGAUGCGUAUAGAUGAGAGCAGCUGGAUAAAGAAGUUCUAAUCAUUAAAUGUAGAUGGAACCUGUGGAAGAGGAAGAUUCGAGAAGACUUGGGAAGAAUGGCAUUUGGAUGUUGAGCCUCACAGAGAUGACAAAGGACCAAGAUAUUGGGGAUUUGCUGAGUUUGGGAAGAUCUAUUCAAGCAAAAAUGUGACCCUAAAGGCUUGUUGUAUAUGUCUUUGCCCCUACACACAAGCUGUCCUUGACAAAUCUUUCCUCUGCAAUUCAUCUUCCUAUCACUCCCUCACUCGCAUUCACCACUUAAUGCAUCCACCCCCUCCCUGCUCUACUUUCUCUUUCCUCUCCUUUUGCACUCUUAUGAAUUUACCCACUCACGCUGUCCAAUUCUCUGGACCACUUCACUUAGAUUCACUUCUCUGUAACUCGACACAUCUUCACCAACUUCACUGUUUCUCUCUCUUCUCCCCCACCCCCCUGCUGGACUAACCAUGAUUCUCUUCUACAGCAAAACAUUUGUUUCUCUCCUACUAUCAUACUCUUCAUCAACUGGCACAAAGCCACCUCCCUCAGUAAUACUUCCCAACUCAGUUGAGGCAGGUACGGGGUCUCUGUCUCUUGCAAGUUACUUGGUGACCUCUCUAGAAGUGGUGAUGAUGUCUAGUUUUUCUUUCAGUAUUUUCGUGCUCUCUCAUUCAUGUAUGCUGACAUUGCACAUCCAGCAGAGGAUAAAUUUAUUUCUGUUUCCUUGUUGCAUUCCUGAUUUCAUGUAUCUUCAGCAUUUCGUAUUUAUAUCUCACAACUAUGCUGUAUCAUAUUCUGAAAACUAGUCUUCAUACACUUUACUCUUUACUCAGAAAGAAAAGACCUUUGUUAUCAACCGAAAUAAAAGCUCCUUGAACUUUUUUGACUCUGUCCUCACUCUAGCUUUUAUAAUGCUCAUCUCCUCUAUGGGAUUAUUUAUCUCCUAAGUAGCAGAAGCUAUCAACUAUUUCUAAUGAACUUUCUGGGUUUGUUACUUCUUUCUUUCUUGGGUGCUCUUACUGCUAGCUUCUUCUGUUAUAUAAAAUCCAUCCCUAUCAGUUUGCCUUAGACCACAUUACACCUGUUGUUGCCCAUUGUUGGUAUCAGGUACACAGUUCCUACCUACUCACUUUUUGCAUCUGCAUACCAAAUCUUUAUUAAGCUCACACUCAACCCUUGUUACGUGUCAGCAGGGCUGCCAGAGAUGUUUCAUAGAACACUUCCUGUAUCUCUACACAUAGUCUCUCAAAGUGGAUUAAGAAUGGAAGAAUAUGGUUGGAUUGUUAUUUUCAUAACUUGUUCUCUUUCUUAGCUUGUUAUAUACUCAAAAUAAAAGAAACACACUCAUUUUCUGCUGUUUAAGUUUCAUAAUUAUCUUCUGAAAAUAAUAUUAAUUAUGACUACAAUUCCUUUCCAUGUUAAGGAAUUUAUUCUUUUCCUUCUUUGUCUUAUUGAUUGAGAAGUUAUUAACAAAAUGCCUUGUUUUCACAUUAAAAUUCUUGCACACCCAAUUUUAGAAGUUUAUUCACUCUAAAAUACAUUCCAUCAUAUCAUCUGAGACCAUUGAUUAGAAUUACACAAUUCAUGUUAAGUGUCAUUAAUUUCUGUUUGUUUCUUCCUGUUUCUCUAAUUCAUAAUUUGAUAGAAUCCAUAUCCAGCCAUAGACACAUUUCAUAUUUCAAAAUUAUUUUGAUAAGAAGUGAGUAUGUAUAUGCAUGGGACUCUCGUGAUCUUACAUAAUUUUAUUGUCAGUAAUUAACAUAGCAUUAUAAAACAGUUAUAGAACACUCGGUACUACAUUCUCUGCACACCUAAAGAAAGAACAGUUAGAAAAAAAUGUCAAAAAGUUAGUAAUUUGUGGGUAAAACAAAACUUGGUAAUUACCUGCACAAAAUAUUUCAAUAAGUAGUCAUUGUUUAUCUUCAGGACAAACCAUGAGAAUCAUUUAAGUAGGUUGGCUACCUUCUUCUUAUCUCUUUUUUCUUUUCUUUAAUUUUGGGAAAUUUCUUUUUUGUUUCUUCAAACUUUAUUCAAAUCAUCAACUUCCUCUUGAACUGUUCUUUUCUCUUCUUUGAAACUUCAUAGUUUACCUGGUUCUGUUACAAUUGUGACAAAUGUUUCUGAAGAUUUAUAUUUUCAUCCUCCAGUUCAGCAGAGUCAGCAAAGUUAUUUCAUAUUCUUUUAUUUCAUUCCUCAUCUGGUUGUACGUUUCUGAUUUUUCAUGAGUGAUGGUCUUCAAAAGCAACUUUGAUAGUUAUUAAACUGUUUCACAUUUGUCUUUAAAAGAAAUAUUAAAUCUUUAUGGUGAUGUUGUCUCCUAAGACAUCUAGAUUAUAUUGGGUCACUGUCGAUCUUUGCUCAGCCGGUUGAUGAAACGACACUGUUGAUAUGGUUAGUUUUCAACAUACCUUUUACAAAAUGUUGUAUCACAAUUAAAACAUUGUUUAUCAGCAGCAGGACAUUUUUUAAGGAUUCUGGGAGUCAAGAAAAUUAACAAAUCAAAGAUAGCAUAUUGGCAGAGUUGUUACCACAUUUGAUAAAACAUUUUAUUGUAUUUAUUCUAGUUCUUUGUGUGCAAGUGUAGAAAACUUGUCUGUAUCUAGCCAACGAGAUGUGUGUCUUGCAAAAAAGAAAAAUAAAAAUAAUGUUAGAAUAUUCCAUGACAAACACAUUACAUUUGUCAAGGGAGUCAUCAGGGGUAAUUCAUCAUCCUGAUGGCACAAAUAAGGAAGAUUUUGUUUCUUUUUUGAUCCAAAGUAAAAUAAUUUUAACCUAAACUGAACUUGAUUUCUCCACAGUAGUAACAUAAGAUUAUAAUAAUUUAGACUAAAGUUGACCACAACAUUGAUAGUGGACUCUUCCUAUUGGACUGUAAAAACAGUAUCUUGCAAUGUUAAGGUUUUUUCAUUUGCAUGAAACAAGGUAAAGAUAUGGCAAACUGCCUUUUGAUCAGUUUCAUUGUUUCAUUUUUGACCAAAAGUCUAUCUUACAACUUCCUUUGUAAAUAAUAUAGAAAAUAUACAAUAUUUUGAUAUUUGUCAAAGAUAACUGGCAAAGUCAUUGAUAAAUAAGUGAAAAUAGUGAUGUGCUGAAUGCCAUAUGCAAAAAAUUCUUGAUUGAAACUUCCUUCUUAGUUGGAGAAAGUAAACAAAAACCAAGUGACUCACAAAGAAAAGGAAUGAUAAUGUUUCUGUCUAUUAGACCUCAUCAGCAUAGUAUAGUCUACUCAAACCUGCUUGUUCAGCUGACAAAGAUUUUUACAUAUAUAUAAAAAAAACCGUUGUAGAUAAUUUUUGGUCAUCAUAAUUUGCAUAUGCUUUAUUUGAGUUAUUUCCCUUUGAUUUUUGAAUUUUUUUUUUCUAAACAUCAUUGUCUGGUCUCUUGCUUCAAUGAAUAUACAUGAGCAUAUUUUGUUGUUUGUAAAUAUUUUCUUCUUGAAUACAAUGUAAUGUUACUUUCAACCUUCUCUCUUGUAAUUCCAGGCCACUCUGUAUUGUUGUAAUAAGUGGUUGUUGUAGACACAGACUUAAUAGAAAUAAUUCCAAUUUAUUAUUCUUAUCUAGCUUCAUAAGCCUAAUAUAUCUUUUCAAACUAGAUAAUAAAUUUAUCAAAGACCUCUGCAGAAUUAUCCCUUGACAUAAGAAGGUUAAUUCUUAUUGAUGGCAUUGAUAAUUAUACUAACUUCUGAUGUGAGAAAAUUGUAAUCCAUAAUUUCAAUGAGCCAGUAUCCAACCAUAGACAUAUUUCGUACUUGUUGACUAACAGUUGCUAUUCACCUUUUUAUAAUGAGUGUUUGCUUGCUUCAUGCUCUUGCCUCAUGGGGCUGGGGUCAUUCCAGGUUAGUGGUCCCAGAGACAUCAUCAUGCAGAGAGUUUGCCAGGCUCACCAGCACUCCAUCGCUGGCAGUCUCAUGCCAGCCCCUCUGCAUCAUCCAAGGUGACGUUGAGCUUUUGGAGAUCUUCCCUAAUCAUUUCUCUGGUGCAGGACCUGUCAUGAGGCCUCUUCCAACCCACACCUGCUGCCUUGAAUAAGAAUAAAGCUUUGGCAGAGUGAUCUAGUGGGAGACGGAGGACAUAUCCAUAUGAGUGCGUAAGAUGGAUAGCUUUGAGGUGGAAGGCUGCAGGAUGAUGUACAGAGAUGAGACACUCAGCUGUUGAAGGGCCACUACGAUUUAUUAGUCUGGGCAAUAACUAUAUCCCCAGUAUUUCUGAUUCUGGUUUUAAGUUUCCUUUGUAUUUUAACUAAAAGAUUACCUCAUGGGAAGAGAAAAAAACCUAGCGAAGAACAGUACAAAUUUAUUGUGGUUCUUAUCAUUAUGAAGGGUUUUUGCAUUGACUGCAGCAGCUGUAGCACAAGUAAGUUAAUUAUUAGUGAUAAUAAUAAUUCCAUUUAUUUGAUAUAAAGGCAGUGAUCUGUUAGAAUCAUUAGGGUUUCAGACUAAAAUGUUUUGCAUUUCUGGCUCUUUAAAUUCUGAGGUCAAUUAUGCCUUUCAUUCUUCUGGGGUUGAUAAAACAGUCCCAGUCUAGUAUUGGGGUCACUGGUAAUUACUAAUCCCUUCUCUUCAAAAAUAGCUGGCCUUGUACAUAAAUCAGAAACCAUCAUCAUUGUCAUCAUCAUCAUCAUUACCACCACCACCACCACCACCAUGGUGGUGAGCUACGUUUCUUCCAGUUUUAUGUUCUCAGUUCAAAUUCCACUGAGGUUGACUUUGCCUUUUGUCCUUUUGGGAUUGAUAAAAUAAGUUCCAGUUGAGCACUGAGUUUCAUAUAAUCAAUUAGCCUCCUCCAAAAUUUCAGGACUUGUGCCUAUAGUAGAACAGAUUAUUAUUAUUAUUAUUAGCUGCAGGACAAAUACCUAGCCAAAGAUGAACCUCUGUACCUAGAUUUCGUUGACUUGGAGAAAGCCUUUGACAGGGUCCCCCGAUCCCUUAUCUGGUGGUCAAUGAGGGAACUAGAGAUAGAAGAAUGGUUAGUGAGAGCUGCACGAGCCAUGCACAGGGACAUUGUCAGUAAGGUGAGGGUUAGCAACAAGUAUGAUGAAGAAUUCCAGGUAGAGGUAGGGGUCCACCAAGGUUCAGUCCUCAGCCCCCUCCUAUUUAUCAUAGUUCCCCAGGCAAUAACAGAGCAAUUCAAGACAGGACGCCCCUGGAAACUCCUCUAUGUUGAUGACCUUGCUCUAAUUGCUGAGUCACUCUUAGAACUAGAGGAGAAGUUUCAGGUGUGGAAGCAAGGAUUAGAAUCGAAGGGCCUUAGAGUCAACUUAGCUAAAACCAAAGUCCUAAUAAGCAGGAAGGCAGGCAAACCACAAAUCCCUUCAGGUAGAUGGCCCUACUCGAUCUGUAGAAAAGACAUAGGUAGAAACGCUAGUUUCCAGUGUAAGUUAUGGACACAUAAGAGGUGCAGCAAUGUCAAAGGAAGGCUAACUGGGAAGAUAGUUUUUCUAUGUGGCAGAUGCUCAGGAGCAAUAAACUCUGAAAAUGCACAGAGAACAACUUCCGCCACAUUCCAGGAAGAAAAACUAGAAGUAUUUGAUGGCUUCCAUUACCUAGGUGACCAAGUCAGUAGUGGGGGUGGGUGCUCUGAAAGUGUAGCUGCUAGAAAAAGAAUAGCCUGGGCAAAGUUCAGAGAGCUCCUACCUCUGCUGGGGACAAAGGGCCUCUCGCUCAGAGUAAAAGUUAGACUGUAUGACGCAUGUGUACGAACAGCCAUGCUACAUGGCAGUGAAACAUGGGCCAUGACUGCUGAGGAUAUGCGUAAGCUUGCAAGGUAUGAAGCCAGUAUGCUCUGCUGGAUGUGUAAUGUCAGUGUGCAUACUCAACAGAGUGUAAGUACCUUGAGAGAAAAGUUGGACCUAAGAAGCAUCAGAUGUGGCAUGCAAGAGAGACGACUGUGCUGGUGUGGUCAUGUGGUGAGAAUGGAUGAGGAUAGCUGUUUGAAAAUGUGUCACACCCUAGCGGUUGAGAGAACCUGUGGAAGAGGUAAACCCAGUAAGACCUGGGAUGAGGUGGUGAAGCACGAUAUUCGCACAUUAGGCCUCACUGAGGCAAUGACUAGUGACCUGUCAACUUUGACUUCCAUUCUUUUGAAAUCCAAAAGAUAAUAUCAAUCCAAGUUGAGGAAUUAGCAGGACUGUAAGAAUGUCAGAUCAGAUGCUUUGUGGUGUUUGAUCCUUCUCUUUGUGUUUUGAGUUCAAAUUCCUCCACUUUAGCUUAAUUGGGUAGUGGACUUAAACAAUCACAUAUUUAAGACCACCACCUAGCACCAUUGAGGUGUUCAGCAGAAUUCAGCCUAUUGUAAUCAGAUGAGCUAGAUCUUGGGUUUAAGCCUUUCUUCCUCACUCUUUUCUUACCAGUAAAAAGUCAUUGAGUACAGCCUUUCUUGCUUAAUCCCUCAUGCCACCACUUUCCUGAAAUUUGAAAAGAUUUUUCUGAGCGAAUUUUGGCAUAGUUUUCCCUUAUGACAUAAUUAUUUACUUUUUUCUUAAUUUCUUUUUUGUAUUCUAGUGUUUCAAACAACUGAGAUGACCAUUUUGCAAAAAAAAAUUGUUUUUUCAUCUUUUUGGCCCUUUACCAAAAAAAAAAAAUUUUUUUUUUAAUUAUAUUUCUUCACAUUUUUGAUCCCCAUCAUAUUGCAUCCUUCCACACAAGAUUUUUUAGAGGAUUACUGUUGGAGAUAGAACAUCCUUAACAUGGCAAACUGCAUUUCAAACACUAGCAUUUCUCUUUAGAAUCAGAAAAUACUUCAUCCCCCAACAGCUACACACCCUAUAAAGCUCACUGCAGCCCAUCAAGAGAAGAGACUCUUAUAUCUUAUUAGUUGAUAUUUUUUCAAUGCUUUUUUUUGAAUGAAAUUCUUUUAAGGUAUCUAAACUUUUACUCUCUCUCUCCUCAUAAUACAUGUGUUUUAAAAUAAUUUUUUUCUCUAUUUAUAGCAAACAAUACUUCAUUUAUGUUUUAGAAUUUCGAGCAAGCCAUGAUGAUUACUCAAUAAAUUUUCUAUACUUGAUACAUAAUUUCCCAUUUCUUUGAAAAUACAUUGUAAUUCUCUUCAUUUACCUGAAAGUAAUAUUUUCUCAUUAGGAUGACAAGUUGAAAGCUUGUUUCAAAAUAUUACACAAAAAUAUUAUUUGAAAGUUUGCGAAAAGGAAAUUUCUGAAUGGAAAUGUAUGUUGUCUUGGUAAUAUAUAUAUAAAUUGAAAGAUUGAUUACAUCAUGAGAUAAAUUAAUCAAAUGGAUUUGCACUUUGAUAUGUUAUAAAUUACUUUGAUAUGCUAUCAAUGGUGCACGAUAGAGCCUUGAUGAGGGUGUUUGAUCUGCUAGAAAGUGCAGCCAAAUCACUUAUUUCAGCAACCAACAUUAUUGGACAAAUGUUCUGAUACAGUCAUAUUCCCUAAUUUUUAAACAACUGUGGCGUACACAUGAACAACAAUUCAUGCAAAGUAAGUGAAAUAUAAGGAAUUCUAGAUGUUUAUAACAGAAAUCCAGUGGCUUUUUGGAAAAUCUUAACUUGAAAAUUUACUGUUGUUUUACUAAGAUGAAAGUGAGUGAACAGGAAGUACACAUCAUAGUAAAUUUGUCAUUGCUUAGAUUAUUCAGACAGAAUGAAGGCUAUGAUGAAACCAUCAAAAUAGGCAGUAAGAAUUAAAUUUUGAUGAUGUAUUUGAGUUGAAAUUUAUUAAGAUUUUAUGACAAUUUAGUCUGAACAGAAUGGCCCUGGGGUUUUGGCUAGUUAAAAACAAGACCAUGCUUCUUGUUCUCUUGCUCCGUUAUAAGUUAGUCUUUUUUCUUUAUGUCUUAGCACAAGCAAGUACAGCUCUCUGUCUCCUGGCUACAUAUAGUAUUUUAUUUAAUUUCUGUGUCAUUCUGUUGCAUUGAGACUAUGCUAUAUAAUGUACAUGUAGUGUCUAAUAGUGUUUAAUAGAUCUGUUGAUAUUCCAAUACUACUGACUUCAGAAACUAUUAAUUAAAGCUUCAGAAGAUAUUUUUUAAUUAUGUCUUCCUUUGAAUGUCAUUAUUCAUCAUAGUAAUUGGAUAAUGUCUCUUAUGGUCUAAAAUGCAUCUUCUCUUGGAAGCAUCCUUUUGUAAUAAAUAUCCUCACUGUAUAAAGUUUAUUGCCAUAAUACUUAGCAUGAGAGCUUCACAAUUGCUAAAAAAUAGAAGAAUCAAUUCGUAACAAGGAUGCACAUUUUUAUAGAGGGUUGUUGUUGAUUAACUUUUAAAGCCCUGCCAUGCCUUCUUUCUAUGAAUCUUCCUGUUCUGUUAGAAACUAGAGAUUUUGAUUAAAAUGCUGUUAAUCCAGUCAAAAAAAAAAUUUAAAAAAAGUAAAAAUAUCAUUAUCUAAAAUCAACUCCUCAGUUGUACUUACAAGACAUCAGUUUCUUGAUUCUGAGCUGAACUUAUUCUCCAGUUAAUUUCUAUAACUAGGUUGCUCCACAGCUACUAUUCAAAGGUUUCGUAAGGCCCAACACAUCCAUGUUAUUUAGACUUAUUAUUCUCUCUUCAUAAACCUACCAGUAUACAGAAAUCCUCUCUUUAAAUUAUAUCAGUUACCAUUCACUAACAAAAUCAUCAAUGCAUUAUCAACCACGAGAGAACUCCAUUCUUGCUUAGAUUCAAUAAAUCCCAACAUGACUUAGCUGAGGUUUAUAGAUGAUAAGCCUUUUGUCUAUAAUGAAAUGCUGAAAUUAUAAUAGAUCAUUAGGAAAUUAGUUUCACUGAAUUCUGACUUACUGUGACUUACUCAUGAUGCUUGAACAUCAAAGCAAGAAAAUUUCAUUGAAAACGCCCUGAUAAAACACAAAGUAUAAACUCACAGGGUGCAAACAGGAAGUCAUUUAACUUGAAGCUCUUUCUAAAAUGAGACUAAAUUUUGUUUCUUGUGCAGAAAAGUACUAAUUCCAGUUUUCAACUCCAAAUAAUAAUAAUAUUUGAAUUGUGGUUAUGUGCAGCUGAGGACUUGGGGAAGUUGCAUAUAUUUACAGUAUAGAAAUUUAAUCUUUUAGCAUUCAAACUGGUCAUAUCUGGCUCAAAUAUUCUACCUGCUUUAUGGUCAAACCAGCCAGAUCAGGCCUCUCACACCCACCCUACAAUACCAUUCUAAAAAUGAAACAGUCACAUCAUUGAAAUCUCAAAGCUAUGAGAUAAUGCAUGAUUAAUAUAAAACAAUGUGAAUAUGUAAGUAUUACAUUUAAUAGAGCAAUCUGAGUGCUAAAGAGUUAAUAGUUAAACACCUCAAAACUUAUUUUACUGACUUUAAGAUGAUAUAUGAAAGUUACAGUCAGAUUUUGUUGGAUUUGAACUUCAGUGUUGAAGCUGUGUAGUUCAGCGUGCAACCAUUUUAGUAUCUACCACUUAAAAUAAUAAAAGUUGAAAUAAUACUUUAGCUAAUUUCUCUCUCCCAUUACUGAAGAUAAAACAAACAACAGAUAUAAUAAACACUAAUGACCAUCUCAGCCAAAUAACCUCAAAAGAUCUCCUUCAGUGUUGUUUGCUCAGUGUAUAAUAGCCUGUUCACCUGGAUUUCAUUUUUUAUUGACCGGAAGCCAACAUCUGAAGAUAAAACUGCAUGGCAAGCUGUUAUAGGUCUGUGAGUGAAAGUUAUAAACUAGUUCAGUCACUAACAAUUCCCAGAACAGACAUUAUCAUUGUUUCUGCUCAGGAUGAAGCAAAUAAUAUUUUAGUUGUGUCAUUUAUCUUGUAAAAAAACAUUAAAACAUCAUCAUCAUCAUCAUCAUCAUCAUCAUCAAUAACUGUUGUUCAUCUGCAGUUAAGAUCUUCCUCUAGUAGCAAUUAUGGAUCAGUGACUUUUAAAAUGUAGUCAGGGACUGUAAAUGAAAAAUUGUGCCUGUAGCACAUUAAUUUCAAUUGAGAACUUGUUGGAGAAAAAGCGCAAAUUAAAGUCUAUGGAGAAAACUAUUUAUAAUUAGAUAUUUCAUGUGUGAAUCCUCUUCACUGGCAGCUAAAGGUAACAGACACAUGAAAAGGAAUGCAAAACGCAUUAUUUAUUGGCUGACUUUAAUUAUUUUAUUUAUUGUUUCACCAACAUUAGUAAUGCCUUUAUAAAAGAUGAUCAUCAUAACUGUUGAUUUUAUUCUGCUUAUAAAUCUGAGAUAUCAUCUUUAUAAAAUAUAGCAAUUAUUUAUUGUAAGGGACUGCCUGAAUCUCAUAACUUUCUAUAUACACGCAUCUACAUGAAGUAUUAUUUCAAAAGAGAUUGUUCUGUAGUUUUAAUAACUGUUUUCUUUCAACUAUUUCCUCACAUAUUACAUAACAUUACAACAUAGUUUAAUUGUAAAAGUUUCCUAGUAGCAUUAUAUACUCUGAAGCUUUAUACCUAUGCAAGAAUAAUUUUUUAUUGUAAAUGUUCUUUUUGAAAACUCAGAACAAUCUCAUUUGAUAUGCCUUAGAGUGUAGAUUUCAGAUAUGUGUCCAAAAGUUCAAUGAAAAUAUAUCCACAUAAACAAGAUAAUAUACCCACCAAAGAUCUUGUGACAGUGCUCUCUAUUCUGUGAACCCUUAUUGUAUCUUUCAUGAAAGAGUAAACUUUAAAAGUCACAGAAAAUUUGUUUAUUUUGUGGCGUGGUAUGUUUAACAUGGAUAUGUCUUUCAUAAGUUUUCUUAGAGUGAUAACUGCUGUAGUGCAAGUCUGAACAGGUUGUUAUGGAUGUUGGGUGCAGGUAUAGCUGUGUGGUUUAGAAGUUUUAACCUUAACCACUUGGUUCCAGUUUCGAUUCACUGUGAGAAAGUGCAUUCUGCCAUGGUCUCAAAUUGACCAAUACUUUGUGAGUGAAAUAAGUUUGUAGACAGACACUCUAAAAUUCUGUUGUGUGUGUACGAGAGAGAGAGAGAGAGAGAGUGUGUGAGUGUGUCAUUGAUGGAUUACCAAUAUAUUGCAGUGUGGAACAAAGAUACAUUCGGUAUUUAGGUGGACAUAGCUAGCAAAUAAAUAAAGAUUUAUAAAAUGAGUACCAGAUUAAAGCACCGAGGUUAAUACAACUGAUGAAAUACAACUUGAAGGCAGUGCCUCUGUAUUACUGCAAUCUAAUAACUGAAACUAGUAAAAAUGUAAAACAGUAUUCUAGCUUUUUUGAGUGCUAGAAUACUACUCACAGACAUUCCUUAUAAAUGCAUACUGAUAACAUUUUGCUUGCUGCUGGGCCAGGAAACGAAUUUUGUAUAAACAAAUCAUGUGUGUGUGUGUGUUUGUGUGUGUGUGUGUGUGUGUGUGCGUGCAUGUAUGUAUGUAAUAUAUAUAUAUGAUAUACAUUCAUCAACUGUAUACUCUUUCUACUGUUGGGAUCCUCUAGUUGUCUUCCAUCAAUUCACUUAACAAUGAAGUCUCUUGUAGGGGUAUGAGAAGAUAUUUAGGAUUUAUCAUUUGUGGAGGUUUAUGUUGUGAAUGACCCUGCUUCCACACUAAUUCAAGACGACUAAACUCUAUGUAUUCCACCCUUAAUUGCAACAUGUUGGCAACAAAAUGGGAAAAUCCACCCACUCUGUUUUAAGCACUAGUAAUUUAGAAGAGAGAUUCCUGUUCACUUGCAUAUUUUCACAGUUUGUCUCCUUAACGGAGCUGUAGUUGUCCUGAGCCAGGCAAAGACUAGGAGUGGUUACCUGGCAUCUGGUGUGUUGUCACUCACAACCCUCUCUACAAGUCCAGCAAUAUGGUUGGUGCAGCUUUCAUGUAAAGGACUGGUGAAAAUCAAUGUUCUCUGGGAAACUGUGUCAUUGAGAUUCAACUAGCUGUCUGUUCUAGAGAACUUUUGGCUCAGGAUAUAAAAACUUUUAAAAAUCUCUAGCCAAAUUAGACUACAGUGGUGGAAGGAUGCCUUGUCAGUUCAGGACAAACUCUACAGGCAUGCAAGUGCAGUCAAUCAGGUCUGUUUGAGAUUUGCACAGAGCCACACACUGUUUUGCAUGCAUUUGUAUCGUGUGUAAGACCAAGCUGUUCAUUAGUCAAGUUCAUAGUGAAAAUCACCCUGCUGUUUUUAUUUGGCUGAAAAUGGCUAUAGUAAAAGGGGAUUUGUGGUGAAAGAGAUAGAAAGGAUUGCAGACAAACACAUUACCCUUUGGUCAAGCCCCCAUCAACUUUUCAAGUUUCACUUGAAUAGGAAAAUGAGGGUGGAUAGGGAGCUGCUACCUCCCACUAAAUUCUUUAUAAAUGGGUAAGAGUUGCAGAUAUAGAAUGUAUGAAAAGGCCCACUCUGAGCAAUGCGCCUUUAGGUUGGGAAAUGGCAGGUGUUAGAGGCCACUUGUCCUUGGUGGCCAAAGCCAUUCAGAUUUUGUGAGGUUUCUUUGAUUGGCCCUUAGCAGCUUAUUGGGCAGUUUUGUUGUUGCCUGAUAUCCUUUUGCUUAGGGGCAUAUGUAGGCACCCUACCUCCAUGUUUACAUUUUGUACUUUUGUUGUCUUCUUUGGGCUCUUGUGACUAGUUAAGAAAUUAUACUGCCACUACUACUAAUACUGCUUGUUUGUUUGUUGAGCGAAGUGGUCUUCGUCCCAAAGCUCACAAGAUCAUGCCUCUUAGUAGGAGAAGUCCGAAACGUGGUCCCUUGCUAUUCGUAAGACCCGCAGAAGAGAAAGCAGGUAAACCCCCGACACCGAGAGCAUCAACGGAUUGAUGAAUGUGCAUCCAGGUUCAGCGGUCGCGUAGGAAGUCGGUGCUGUUGCUGCUUUUGCUGCUGCUGCUGCUACUACUAUAGUAGUAGUUGUAAUAGUAAUAAUGAUAAUAAUAAUGAUAAUAAUAAUAAUCUUCAUAUAUACAUGUGUGUGUAUGUGUAUAUAUAUGUGUGCAUUUUUGUGUGUGUAUGUGUGUCUGUCCUCCACUGCUUGGUUUGUUUAUGUCCCUGUAACUUAGUGGCUUGGUAAAAGGAAACAAUAAAGAAUAUAUGUGUAUAUAUGUAUGCGU
rnacentral:lncRNA from 1 species